GGACAAUGGGCUGGUGCCGAUUGUGGAGCCUGAGAUCAUGCUCGAUGGUGAGCACGGCAUCGAGAGGACCUUCGAGGUGGCGCAGAAGGUGUGGGCGGAGACCUUUUACUACAUGGCCCAGAACAACGUCAUGUUUGAGGGCAUCCUCCUGAAGCCAAGCAUGGUGACCCCUGGUGCCGAGUGCAAGGACAGGGCCACCCCUGAGGAAGUAGCCAGCUACACCCUCAAGCUCCUCCAGAGAAGGAUCCCCCCUUCCGUCCCCGGCAUCAUGGUGAGCAGAGCACCCUCCCAAACCUAAGUGCACAAUCAUGAAUACGUAUAAGAUUAUGUUGACACGACACUAUACUCAACAACCAAUUUGCAUCGUGACAUAGUAACUAGUAACUCAAAAGUGCAACAAUAGCAUGCCUUGAGAAAUCAACAAAUCAUUAGUUCUGCACAAGCUCACAUCCAAAUUUGUUGUCUCUUUUCUGUGGUGGUGCAGUUCUUGUCUGGUGGACAGUCGGAGGUGGAGGCGACGCUGAACCUGAACGCGAUGAACCAGGCGCCGAACCCGUGGCACGUGUCCUUCUCCUACGCGAGGGCGCUGCAGAACACCUGCCUCAAGACGUGGGGCGGGCGGCCGGAGAACGUCGCGGCAGCGCAGGAGGCGCUGCUGCUGCGCGCCAAGGCCAACUCCCUGGCGCAGCUCGGCAAGUACACCAGCGACGGCGAGGCCGCAGCUGCCAAAGAGAACAUGUUCGUCAAGAACUACAGCUACUGAUCCGUCGGCGAGCUGUCCUAUCUACAUAAUCUACCUACGGAGGGAGAGUGCUAGUAGCGCCUUGAGCAGCUUGAGGGCACCUUAGCCAGCCAGUGUGUCGUCGUUGUUACAGGUCGAGACCAGCUCUGAUGGAAGAGAUGGACGGAGAGCAUAUACUGUGUUUUACCACCCUAAGUAAAAAAACUUUGGAAUGGUUUUACUGCUGUAUUCGCAUGUUUUUUUUCUUCUCUAGAGCGUUGUUGUUGCCUUUGUUUGCCACCCUAAGUAAGUAAGUAUAUGAACAAUCUCAAGCGCCCGUUUGGAACACGGUAAUUUUUCUUGGAGCAUAUUGAUCCAUCUGUUUGCUGGAACCACUGCAGAUCUCGCGUGAAAUUCCUGCGUUCCAAUUUCUCGAGUGCAGGACCAAAAAUUGACAAAUGGUGAAUUUCGUAUGAACCCCGUGGCCGUGGGGCACAAGCUCAUGCAUCUAACAGGGACCUGCUUGAGUAUAUAGCAAAAAACUAUCACAUUACGGGCUAAAGUUUGAAAAACUAUCUUUUUUAAUUAAAAAAACUACCACAAAAUUGGUUUGCUGUUUUGAAAAACUACCAUGUCACACUCAUAAAUAUGUUAAUUAAAUUUAAACGUUAUUAUGACAGCUCGGGUCCACUCGUCAGGUUGACCAUUGACAGGUUAUGAUAGGUGGACCCAAAUAUUUUUUGAAUUACAGUCAGGUCACUGGAAAAAAAAUAUAAAAAGCAAUCGGGUCCCUGGAAAAAAUAUAAAAAGCAAUCGGAAACUCGCGGGCGAGCUCGUUGCCGGAGACGGGUCGAGCGUCAUGGUGGCCGGCCCCGGUGGCCGCGAGAAGUGGCUACGACGGACGUGGUGGUGGUCGGCCCCGACGGCCGUGGGGAGUGGUUGCACCGGGCCUGGUGGUGGCCGGCCCCGGUGGCUACGUCGGGCAUCGUGGUGGUGGUUUUUGCGUGCUGCGUGCCGGCCGCCGCCGCCGCCGCUGCUCCUGCGUGCCGCCCGCCGUUGCCGCUGCAGCUGCCGGCCGCCGAUGCUGUUGGUCGGGAAAGGAGAGGAAGAACAAGGAGAGAAGAAAGAUAAGGGAGGGAGAGAGAGCACCCUAACAUGUGGGUUUAGGAGCGGGCCCGACUUGUCAUAAACCAGAUUAAUUCUAAGGCCCUGUUUGGAACCACCCAGAUUAUAUAAUUCAGUUUUUAUAAUCUAUUCUGUCUCCAAACAGGACAUCUUAUGGUAUAGAUUAUAAAAACUAGAUGGAUAGAUUAUUAAAAACUCAUAAUCUACUCUAUACCAGCUAAAAUCAGAUUAUGGAUUGCUAAUGACCCAUUACCCUUGUAAAGUUAUAGAUAAUUACAUUCCUACCACCGCCAUCCUUCUCUUUUUUACAAAAAAACACAGGGCAGACAGGUCAUUAUGCAAUGUAAAAUAUGGAUUACAGUUUAUAUAAUCUGGCCUCCAAACAUGUCCACCUAGAUUAUUUUUAUAAAGCAGAUUAUAUAAUCUAUCUUCAUAAUCCAGAUUAUCAUAAUCUAUUAUGGUUCCAAACAGGGCCUAAAUCACAUUGUCAUUUAGGUUUUUUGGUACAACGAAACAAUUUUGUGAUACAAUUUUGAAAAAAUAAAAAAGUGGUAGUUUCUUAUGGUUAACGCGUGCAAGGAAGGCAUAGGGUUGCACACACAUUUUUUUCCAAACUGUCGUCAUAAAUCCCUUGAGCUCUCUCUAACCGCACUCUCUCUCCCUCUUACUCUCUCCCAAGUGUACCUCCCUGCUACAAUUUUGAUGUAAUUUUUUAAAAUAUUUUAGAAAAGUUAUGUUAAAUUUUGUGCCAUUCUAAGACUUCUUAUUUUUGGGUCAUUUUUCUAUGCAUGGAAAACUAAGAAAAUAGGAUAAUCAUGGCAUUUUAUUUUUUCUGUAGGAAAGAGAACAAAAAAAUAAACUUGUGAAACACAGAGUUGUGAAUGCUCAAUUCAUCAAUCACAUGUCUUUAAAAAAGGAUCCAUUAAUAAGGCUGAUCAAGUCUUAUUAAUAACCAUUUCCGAUUGACAUGAAACCGAAGAAUCUUCAUAUAUCACUAGGUUACCUCAAUGGGGAUUUGCAUCUCCUCACAAUAAAAUUGUAAUAUUUCUGCUUGGCAGUAAAAAAGAGGGAUUUGAAAAUCGCCAACGAUGACCGUGACACAUGGCUCAAUGAUGUUAAUAUUAUUAACCAAAGUUUGUUUCUUCGAAAAAUGCACGGUAUGUUGCUUGCCAUGGACAUGCAAAGUAACUUUACUUUUGUUGCAAUCAAUAACAACCCGUCCAGUAUUUAGAAUGGGUCUACCAAGGAUGAUCGACAUAUUGUCAUCCAUGAGCAUAUCAGGAAUUACAAAGUCUGUUAAGAUAGUAACAUUCGCAACCACAAUAGGAACAUCCUCACAAAUUCCAAUAGGUAAAGCAAUGAAUUUAUCACUCAUUUACAAAGUUAUCUCACUGGGUGUAAGCUUAUUCAGAUCUAGUCUUUUAUAUAGAGAAAAGGGCAUCAGACUAACACCGGAUCCUAAAUCACAUAGAUCAUUUUUAACAUAGUUUCUUUUUCAUAGAGCAAGGUAUAGUGGGUAUGCAGGACCUCCAAACUUUUUAGGUACUCCACCAUGAAAAGAAUAAUUAGCAAGCAUAGAGGAAAUUUCAGUUUCAUAUAUUGUUCUUUUGUUGGUAAUAAUAUCCUUCAUACACUUGGCAUAUAGAGUGCGCAAAAAGACAGGUCUAAUCAUUUCAGCAAAGCGCUCAAAUUCUUCCUCGUCCGCACCUUUAGAAAGGCUUGCGAGGGAAGGGCAUGGAUUUCUGAACCCAUGACUCUCUUUUCCGUGCAUUCUAGCAACAAAGUCCCUUUACCAUAACAUUUAUUCUUAGGAGGUGGGUUAUCAAGAUCUUCAGCAGGUUCUAUUUCCACAUCAUUGUUAGGGUCCUUAUUACUAUCUCGUGGAUCUUCUACAUGAACAUCAUUAUUACCAUUUUCAUUAUCACUACUCCCUAUAUCCAUAUAUAUAGGGCCUAAUGCGUUUUUCAAGGCUAACUUUGAUCAUAUGUUAGAGCAAUAAUAUAUGACAUGCAAGUUACACAAAGCAUAUCUUCAAAUUCGUUAGUAAAAGGAGCUUUCAAUGAUAUAAUUUUGACAUUAUACAUCUCAUAUACUAUUAAUCUUAUCAAUAGUCAAAGUUAAUCUUGAAAAAUGCAUUAGGCCCUAUAUAUAUGGAUGAAGGGAGUAGGUUUAUGUUCACUACCAAAUUGUUGUUCGAAAUAUGCCCUAGAGGCAAUAAUAAAUUACUUAUUAUUAUAUUUCCUUGUUCAUGAUAAUCGUUUAUUAUCCAUGCUAUAAUUGUAUUGAUUGGAAACUCAAAUACAUGUGUGGAUACAUAGACAACAUAUUGUACCCAGUGAGCCUUUAAGGACUAGCUCGUUGAUCAAAGAUGGUCAAGGUUUCCUGACCAUAGACAUGAUUUGUCAUUUGAUAACGGGAUCACAUCAUUAGGAGAAUGAUGUGAUGGAGAAGACCAAAACUAUGAACGUAGCAUGUGAUCGUGUUAGUUUAUUGCUACUGUUUUCUUCAUUUCAAGUAUCUGUUUCUAUGACCAUGAGAUCAUGCAAAUCCCGGGCACCGGAGGAAUACAUUGUCUGUAUCAAACAUCGCAACGUAACUGGGUGACUAUAAAUGUGCUUUACAGGUAUCUCUAAAGGCGUCUGUUGGGUUUGUCACUUCGUGUGACGGAGAGGUAUCUCGGAGCCCACUCGGUAAUACAACAUCACAAGAAGCCUUGCAAGCAACGUGACUAAGGAGUUAGUCACAUGAUAUUGUAUUACGGAAUGAGUAAAGAGACUUGCCAGUAACGAUAUUGAACUAGGUAUGGAGAUACCGACGAUCGAAUCUCGAGCAAGUAACAUAUCGAAGGACAAAGGGAACAUCAUAAGGGAUUAACUGAAUCCUUGACAUGCAGGUUCAACCGAUAAAGAUCUUCGUAGAAUAUGUAGGAGCCAAUAUGGACAUCCAGGUCCCGAUAUUGGUUAUUGCCUAGAGAGUGUCUCAGGUCAUGUCUGCGUAGUUCUCGAACCCACAGGGCCUGCACACUUAAGGUUCGGUGACAUUUCGGUAUUAUUGAGUUAUGUAUGUUGGUGACCGAAAGUUGUUUGGAGUCCUAGAUGAGAUCCCGGAUGUCACGAGGAGCUCCAAAAUGGUCCGGAGGUAAAUAUUAAUACAUAGGAAAGUUGCAUUUGGCUUCCGGAAAGUUUUCGGGCAUUACCGGUAAAGUACCGGAGUGAAGAAUGGGUUCCGUGGUUUUACCGGGAGGGGCCACCCACCCGAGAGAGAACAUAAUAGGCCUAAAGGUGGUGCACCAGCCCUUAGUGGACUGGUGCAGCCAGCCCAAGAGGGCGUAUUUCGGCCAAGAGGUGAGGAAAGGGAAGAAAACCCCAAAGGAGAAGAAGGAUUCCAAGUUGGAGAGGAAUCCUACUUGGAGUAGGAUUGGAGGUGGACUCUUCCACCUCCUCCUAGGUUGGCCGAACACCUAAAGGGUUUUGGGAUGCCUCCUCCCCUCCCUACCUCCUAUAUAUAGUAGAGGAUUUGAGGGCAGCCCUAACCCUAACAAGCCACGUGGUGCCCUCUUUCUCUCUAGAUCGUUUUCUCCUCUAGAUUAGUUCCGCAGCGCUUGGCGAAACCCUGAUGGAUUGCCCACCACCACAACCAUGCCACCGUGCUGGAGAACUCAUCUACCUCUCCGCCUCUCUUGCUGGAUCAAGAAGGCAGAGAUCUUCACUGAGCUGUACGUGUGUUGAACACGGUGGUGCCCUUCAUUCGGCACUAGAUCGGAAGGACCAUGAUGAGAUCACGGGACGGAUCGUGAUGAGAUCGUGGGAUGGAUCGUGAUUGGAUUGCGAAGACGUACGACUACAUCAACCACUUUAUAUACACUUCCACUUAGCGAUCUAUAAGGGUAUGUAGAUGCACUCUUCCGUCUCGUAGAUGGUCAUCACCAUGGAUAGAUCUUGUGUGCGCGUAGGAAUUUUUUUGUUUCCCAUGCGACGUUCCCCAACAAUUGUGUCUCGGCAUAAAAAAUAGAAACAUCAUUAUGAUUCUCAGCAGGUUUCUCAAUAUCAGGUUCACCAAUAGCAUGCAAAGUCCUAUCAUUUUUUAUUUUUCUUCUUAGAAGGACUAGGUACAUGAUGUAUACUACACAACUUUAUUCCUGUAGACUAUGUUGGGCCUCCAAGCACAAUGUUUUGUAGGACAGUAGCAAUUUUCCCUCAAGUGGAUGACCUAAGGUUUAUCAAUCCAUGGGAGGUGUAGGAUGAAGAUGGCCUCUCUUAAACAACCCUGCAAUCAAAUACAAAAAAUCUCUUGUGUCCCCAACACACCCAAUACAAUGGCAAAUUGUAUAGGUGCACUAGUUCGACGAAGAGAUGGUUGAAAGGAUCGAUAUGGUUGGCUAGAGGGGGGGGGGGUGAAUAGACAACGACCACUUUUUAAUUAAUCUUAACAAGUUAAGGUAAACACUAUACGGGUUCACAAAUAAUAUGACAAAGAGGUGACCCCUAUAGAAGCUAUCAACAAGACCUAUUAAGACAAGUAAGAUAUUGUCACAAGGAAAAGCAAAUACAAAGUAAAGGUUAGAGAUAACCACAAGUGGAACUGAUGGAGACGAGGAUGUGUUACCGAAGUUCCUUCCCUUUGACAGGAAGUACGUCUCCGUUGGAGCGGUGUGGAGGCACAAUGCUCCCCAAAAAGCCACUAAGGCCACCGUAUUCUCCUCACGCCCUCGCACGAUGCAAGGUAUCGUGAUUCCACUAUAGGUGCCCUUGAAGGCGGCGACCGAACCUUUACAAACAAGGUUGGGGCAACUCCACACAAAGCUUGGAGGCUCCCAACAAGACCACGAAGCUUCACCACGAUGGAAUAUGGCUUCGAGGUGACCUCAACCGUCUAGGAUGCUCAAACACCCAAGAGUAACAAGAUCCGCAAGGGAUAGGUGGGGGAAUCAACUUUUCUCUUGGUGGAAGUGUGGAUCUAGGCCUUCUCAACCAAUCCCUAAAGAAUCAACAAGUUUGAUUGGCUAGGGAGAGAGAUCAGGCACUUUUAAGCUUGUGGAGCAACAAUGGAGCUUAGAGAGGUGAGAGAUAGGGUUCCUCAGCUAGAAGAACCCUUUAUAUAGUGGGGGGAAAAUUCAGACCGUUUUCCCACUCUCUGCCCGAGAUCCAGCGGUACUACCGCUGGGAAGGAGCGGUACUACCGCUGCUUGGCGGUACUACCGCUGUAUGCAGCGGUACUACCGCUGGGGCUUCCAGCGGUACUACCGCUGGUCCUUGGUAGUGCAUAAGUACUACUACCGCCGAGAAAGUCUUCGCAAAAGGGUCCGUCCACGAACUACCGCUAGGUAGGUGGAACAGGGCACCUGGAGCGGUACUACCGCCAGCCAGGGCGGUACUACCGUCAGCCUGGCGGUACUACCGCUGACCAGGGGCGGUACUACCGCUGGCAGUCCAGCGGUACUACCGCUGGGACCAGCGGUACUACCGCUGGGACCAUUUUGCCGAGACGCAAAGAACAAAACGGCGAGGGCCGCUCCAUGGAUAAAGGAAAGGGAGAAAAUAGAGGUGUGCGUGUGCAAAGAUAGAUUCCACCCAAACCUUUCCACUACGGAUCCCCUCUUAAUUGUACGGCUUUCCUAUGACUCAAAUGAAGAGAAUCUAGGAUAGCGCCAUGCUUCCGUUCCCGAAGAGAGGAGUCGUGUCGUCUUGUGCCGUUGACGAAUGUUGCCUGAAACCUUGACACACACGAUUAGUCCUGUACGGUACUGUCAUCAAUCACCAAAAUUACUUAGGCAUAAAUUAUGCCUCAACAAUGGUGAUACAAGUGUAGUAUGGAGAGUAGAUAUAGGUUUUUGUAAUCUAAAAAUAUAAAACAGCAUGGUAGCAAGUGUAAAACAACGAGCAACACGUUGUAUAAAUGCUUGGAAAUAAGGCCUAGGGUUAAUACUUCCACUAGUGCAAUCUCUUAUCGAUGCUAACAUAAUAGAAUCAUAUGAUCAUCCCUCAAUGUGCAACAAAGAAUCACUCCAAGUUACUAUUAGCGGAGAACAAUAAUAUGAAAUUGGUGUAGGUAGUAGAACCACCUCAAAAUUAUUCUUUUUGAUCAACCUUUUGAGCUAUUCCUAUAAGUGUCACAAACAGCCCCAGAGUUCGUACUAGAAUAACACCCAUGAUACAUAUCAAUCAACCCUAGUGUCACCUAGAUACUCCAAUGUCACCUCAAGUAUCUGUAGGUGAAUUAUGCGAUAUGUAUCAAACAAAUUCAGAUCUAUCAUAUUCAAUCCAACACAAAGAACUUCAAGGAGCACCCCAAGAUUUCUAUGGGAGAACAUAGUAUGAAAACGUGCAAUCAACCCCAAUGCAUAAAUCCCCAAGGUCAUCGGAUCCGCAAGUUGAUGCCAUAACAUAUGUCAAGUAAAUCACUUGAAUACCCUAAUGUCACUACGGGUAUCCGCAUGCAAGACAUACAUCAAGUGUCCUCAAACCAAAUAUUCAAUCCAACAUAACGAGAUCUUAAAGGCAAAUAUUCAAUUCAUCACAACAAGGUAGCAAGUGAAUAACAUCAUAUGAUCCAACUAGAUUAACAAGGCCCGUGAUACAUCAAGAUUGUGCCAUAUUAAGAACAUGAGAGAGAGAGAGAGAUUGAACACAUAGCUACUGGUACAUACCCUCAGCCCUGAGGGAGAACUACUCCCUCCUUGCCAUGGCCUCCGCCGGGAUGAUGAAGAUGGCCACCAAAGAUGAUUUCCCCCUCUGACAGGGUACUGGAAAGGCUCCAGAUGGAUUUUUCGUCUAUACACAUAGUUGCGGCAGCGGAGCGGAAGUUCUCUCUUUAUUUCUAGGGUCUCUGGUAUAUAAAGGAUGUUCAACGUUUGAAUCACGCCAAAUGGAGCCACAUGGGCCCUACAAGCCAUCAAGGCGUGACCUAGGGGGUGCGCCAUGUUGGCUUGUGGCCCACAGGUGGCUCCCCUUCGGUGGUUCUUCGCUCCAAUAUUUCUUAUUUCCUCCCGAAAAAAAUACAAAAAGUUUCGGGCGAUUCCGAGAACUUUCAUUUUUUGCACAAAAAGUUUCGGAGAGUGUCUCAGGUCAUGUCUGCAUAGUUCUCGAACCCGCAGGGUCUGCACACUUAAAGUUCGAUGACGUUUCACUAUUAUUAAGUUAUGUAUUGUAAUGCCCCAGAGUGUUACUUGCCUGAUUUGGAACCUUCAUGUAUGUGGGUCCAUCAUGUCAUUGAUAUGAGAGUUAUAUUUCAUGUGGUAUUUUAUGUGCAUUUCUUGUUUCCCUUGCAUGCAUGCAUCCAUAUCAUUCCAUGCCUCUUGUGUUUGUUGUUAUUGUGAAUCCAUGUAUGUGGUGUGACAUGUGAUGAUGAUAUGUGAUGUGAUGAAGUGGUGUAUUUGAAAGUGGGGUGCAACUUUGCUAGUUUUCAAAUAGGUUUCAAAACCCCCCUCUCUAUUUCUCAAAGCUCAAGUUUUACUUGCCCUAUCCCUGAUUAAAAAAUGUUUAUAUUUUAGAGUGUAUUGUGGUGGAUGUGAUGCUAGGAUUAAAGUGUUUUGAAUCUAUGUUUGAGAGGGGUAAAUAUUCAGAAAACAGUUUAAUUAAUUCUGUUUUGUAACUAUUUAAAUGCUCCAAAAAUUCCUUUUUCAUUUUAUGUAAAUAGGUCUUAAUUCCCUUAUGUCCAGGGGCAUUUUUGUUUUAUUUUAGCAUCAACACUGUGGCCUGUGUAUUUAUUUUGUCUCUGUUUUGUUUUAAAUAAAAAAACCCAGUGGGUUUUUCUUUUUCUUAUGUGGGCAUCCGAGUGGGCUUCCUCCCCCUGGCUGGACCAACUAAUCCCUCGCGCAACAGCCUGCUCCUAUAGACGGCGUCUCCCCCCUCCCUCCUACCGUCAGUUUCGUCAGAGAGAGAGCAAGGCAGAGAGGUCGACGCCGUUGCUCACGGACGUCGAGGCGACCUCCCUCGCCCUUUAUUUAACCCCUUGGUGUGCGUGCCCUGGCUAGGGUUCCCUCCCAGCGCCGCCACCUCCUUUCCCUUCUUCCUCCUCUCUCUCGCUCGUCGACAACAGGUAAGCGAGCCCCUCCUCCACCAUGGCCGAACCUUGAGGAGCUCAUUGCCAUCGUUGUCGUGCCCCUGCUUCCUCUCCAAGCCUUCGGCGAGCACGCGGGACCUCAAGGGAGCCCGUUCCCGCAGCCAAUCGACGCCGAACGCCACUGCUUCCCCUACUUCCUCGACGUCGUCUUCCUCCUCUGCUCCGACAAGAUCUGCUGCGGCUUCUUCCUCCUUGUCGACAUCUUCUUCCUCCACGUCAAUCCUGUCCUCCUCGAUGCUCCCUAGGUGAGCUAGCCGCAGUCCCAUCCCGAUCCUGACGUGUAGGUUCCUGCCUAGGCCGUAGCUGUGCCGCCACGCUUCCCUCUGUCACCGGCGCCGUCGUGCACGUUGUUGCAGUAGCUGUAGGCCACCACUCGUCGCGUUUAGGCCUGAAAUGAGACUGUGAGUGUUCCCUCUUCCUCCUAGCGAUGAGCCCGUGCUCAAUUUGUAGUAGAUCGCCGGCGGUGUGCCUCCCCUGUUCCGGCCACCGUCGGGUUGUGAUAGAUCCAGAGGGGGUUGCUCAAAAGAGCAGAGUCCCCCUCUUUGUUAACCUCCGAUAGCGCAACACAGCGGCAACAGUGUGUUUUACCUCGCGCAGGUCGUGGGUUCGAGUACCCGCAGCGCCCCUUUUUGGUGUUUUUUUUCGACACAGUAGCAACAGGAGGGGAAGCAUAUCCUGUAUACUCCCUCUGUUCUGUCGAGCAAGAGUGUUGUAGCGCAGUGCUAGUGGUGUUGUGUGUGGUGCAGCAGGUCAUGGGUUCGAAACCCCUCUGACCCCCUUUUAUUUUUUUUAUUUCUUUUUGUGUUGCUAUGUUGCUGUUUCAACUAGGUGCUUCAUAUCUUUGCUUGAGCAGCAAGUGGAGGUGUUCCUACAUCAUAACCAGUAGGUUUUUCACCUAUGUUUUAGUUAGUGUGCUUGUGUAGUUAGUGAUGCUUAUGUAUGUGAUUGUGCUAGUGUAUGUGUGUAGGAUAUAUAUGUGUGAGCAAGCAUCUAUGUGCAUGUGUGCUUGUGUGGUACAAGCACCCAAGAGCAUGUGUAGGUGCAUGUGGUGCAUGUGUGUGUGCUUGUGCAUGUGUGCACUAGUGCAUGUGCAUGGGGUGUGUGCUUGGGAGUGUGCAAGCAUCCAUGUGUUGUGUGAGUGUGUAUGGGUCCUUGUGGUGCAUGUGUGUGUGUGACACCCACAUGCCCAAGGCAUGGAUUUACCUUAGGAGCACUUGUGUGCAAGCUUGUAUGUGUGUGUGUAGUGAUAGUGGUGUGAGUGCAAGUAUGUGUGUGUGUGGAGACUAGCAUGUGUAGGUGCCAGGUGUGUAUGCUUGGUGUAUGGUGAUGUGCUAUGGCACACAUACAUGAGGUCUAAACCCUCAUGUCACCAUUGGAGUUGUGAGUGUGUGCAAGUGCAUGCGUAGGUGAUGAUGUAGUGAGAAACACAUGUGAUAUGGCACUAUUUGCAUUUAUGUGAUUCCAUGUAGUUUUUCAUCUUAGCUUUGUGCCUAUUUGUUCUAUGCAAGUACCUAGGUAUUAUAUAUGUUUUUGGGGUAGAAUCAUCCCAGGAAUCCAUUGGUGGAAUCAGAUUUCCCUUUGGAACACUUUCUGGAAAUGUCAUUUUUUUGUUUUGAACUAUGUUUAGAGCUUGGUGCCAUGUGGUGUGAUGAGCCUAAGAGGAUGAUUCCUUGAUGUGGCAGUAGUGGGUGAACCCCUCUACAGCAUGGUGGUUUUGCUUUAUGCUUAGGAGUUUGUAUGUGCAAGUUGUGCUUUGUCAAAGUAGGCUUGUGGCUGAAAUUGUCAAAACUGCUGUUAUUUUCUUCCCUUGUAGUUGUGGUUGCAAAAGUUCAUGUGUUGGGAAUUAGCCCUUGCAAUCAACUAGAGAGUUUUAGCUUUUGUGUUUGUCUAGCUCUCUGUCAAUUUUCAUUCUCUUUCACUUCCUGUAGAUAUUGUUUUGGGGGCUUUCAAAAUGCUUCAAAGCAUAAACAGCUGGUGAGAAUCUGAGAUUUUCACUAAGUCCCCAAAAUCUGUUAUUUUUGUCCAAGUUAGCAGUUGUAGAUCUUUCCGUGAGUAACUCAUUUGUAUUAUCUUUUUUCUCAUGCUUGUAGAGCUUUUGAAUAGCUUUUGCCACAUAUCUUGUUUGGCACAUUUGGGUGGUUGUAGGUGCUUUGCAUGUUGCUCUCAAACUGCUAUGUUGCUGUUUAGGACAGAUUGUAUAGUUUUGUUCUUUUGAUGCUUGUGAGUGCAUAGUUGAUGGUGUGGUGAGUUUCUUUUAUCCACCCCACCUAUACUUGUUUGUUUGGUCAUGUGGCAACCUGGGAGUACCAGAAGUAUGCCAUUGGAGAGUGCUUGUGGUAGAAUUGACCCGUAGAGACUCCAUAUGUUAUUUCGUAGUUUCCGGUUGAUCCGUAGCUCCGUUCUCAACGUUCUUUAUAUGUUUUUGCAUCAUUUUCGCGUGAUGCAUCUGUUCAUUUCAUAUUCAUGCAUGUCAAGAUAGCUUAGGGAGAAGUUAUGUCCAGAACUUUGUCUUUUCUUCUCAUGCAUAUGCAAGUGACUAGAAUAGAGAUGCAUGUUACAUUCUCAUCUCAUGCAUCAUGUGGUGUUGUUGUUCAUUGGAUGGUAUUUUUAUGUUGGGUAGCACCGGGAUCGGAGAGCGAGUACGUGGAUUCGGGAAAGUACGUGCAUGACAAACAAGAGCAGUUCCAAGCUGAAGACAUCACAGGCAAGAUGACCAUGACCUUGAUACCGUCUCUAGCUUUGUUAUGCCUAGAUUCACGUUUCCUUCGUCAUAUGCUCGCUGCCUACCACUGAAAUAAUUGCCUCCUGAUAUUGCCAUGAAACCCAAACACUUUCCCCUCCUAGCUAAUAUUGAAUGGCUAAGUAGGCUUGCUCAGCUUCUAAUGUUAGCGUUGCUAGUUGCAGGUGCAAUUGUCUCAUGUGAUAACAUGAGUUUGAUAUCAUUAUCUUUAAUUCUGUUAUUUAAUUAAUGCACCUAUAUACUUGGUAAAUAACGGAAGGCCUAGCCUCUUGCCGGGUGUUUUGUUCCGUUAUUGCCGCCUUAGUUUCCGGCUACCGGUGUUUGAUUCCAUAACUGAUCGCUCCUAACACGUUCGGGGUUGUUAUGGGGACCCCCUUGAUAAAUCAUGUAGUGUUAAGACUUGUCCCACAGGACCCAACAUUGGUUUUUAAUUUGCUAAUCACUUAAUAAUAAUAAUGCAUAGGGAAUAGCUACCCCGUGGAAUUAAUCAACAACCCGGGCCAGUGCUCCUCAUGAGUGUUGGUCCACCCACCUAGCAGUCGGCAAUACCACCUCAGGGAAACUUGAGGCAUUGGUCAUUGUCCACUAUGCAUAGACGGUGUUGUCCUGAGAUUGAGAUACGCGGCUCUUAUCUGGGUCGUCGACACACCGGGAGGUCCUGCUAGCCUUGUCUUACCUUAGCGAUAUAUCUUGCGUAUAGGAAUCCCCGUGAAGCUUUGGUUCUUCCCAGAGUUGAGGUUUUCCUCUAAGGAAUCCGACGAGAUCACGAGAUUCGUGAUAGAGGAUUACUUUGCGGCCCGUGACCGUUUGUGAUGGACUAGUUGGAGCACCCCUGCAGGGUUUAAUCUUUCGUAAAGCCAUGCUCGCGGUUAUGUGGCAACUUGGAAUAUUUGUUAACAUCCGGUUAUAGAUAACUUGAACUUAAUCUAAUAAAACUGCCAACUGUGUGCGUAAUCAUGACUGUCCCCUUGGAAGACCUCUCUUCGAUCGGGAACACGGCGUGGUUAUGUUUGACGUAAGUAGGUGUUCAGGAUCACUUAGUGAUCAACUAGUCUUCGACUGCUCGCGUAGACCACCACAUCUAUAACUUGUUCUACGUAAGUUAGUCACCAUAAAUGCUUAGGAUGCUGCAACCUAAACACUGAAUCUUCCUUACCUAAUAACUUGACUAGUUUCGGUACCGAGGUCAUAGAUUGCUGAGUCCCUGUGGCUCACAGAUUACUUCAACACCCUAACAGGUACAGGUAUGCACGACACAGGUGAUCCCGAUGGCACGCAGCUAGCAUGGCAGUAUGAUGAGGAGAACGACCACCUGUACAUGAACUAUCCAGAAGACUGGGGCGUGGUCGUGAUCGUGGGCAAGCAUGCGGGAUAGCAUAGCCUUUUCUCAUGUUAUGUAGUCCGUAGCGGAACUACCUUGUCUGAAUAAAUGUGGGAUGUAAACUCUGAUAUUAUCUAUGAUAUGGCAAACGAUUCCCUAUUUGUCAUUCUUUUAUUAUGUAUGUGCUAUGUUUAUCUUGCUUGCGAAACACUUAUAUGCACUUCUUUCCAUUUUGGGGCCUCGUUCCCUAAGUCGGAAAGGACCGCAUCUUAGUCGUUACAAGUUGGUAAUGAGAGCCUUACGACCAUAUGAGCAUUUGUGUGAUCGUAGUUGGCCGAGUCGAGUCUAGUAAAAUGUUUUGAGUCUUAGUUAUAUCGGAGAGUAGGUUUCUUUUUUCUCCUCUUCCAUGCUCUGGUGAGGUUCUCGACUUAGGAAAUCUUAAUUCUACUCCUCUUCUCGCUCAAAAAAUAUUUUAGGAUCACGUGGGUAUUUUGAAAUCUAUAUGAUAUCGAUGUGACGGAGUUUUGUCUUGGUGCCUCCUGUCUGCCUUGAUUUCUUCUGGGGAGUUGAGCUCGAGGGGAUUCUUGUGCACAUCGCCAUCAUUCAGAUUUCUGAGUAUCUCAGAACAAAGGAUGUUCGUAAUUGCUUCAAUACUAGUAGUGGCGAGAUAACCCCGAUGUCCCCAGUACUGGUGCAGAUUGUUCGGGAGUACUGCCAUACUUUGUAUCGUUGUGAUCACAAGGGUCUGUGUUAGAUGAAGGUCCGAGAUUCUGGUUAUGUGUUGACGGAUGUGAUACAGUGGACGGGUUAGUAGAGGAGUUGUGUGAAUAUUACUCCUUGUAUCUGUGUACCAGAUUGCAUGACCAGAUAUUUCGGGAUUUCAUAGGUGGGAUAUAAAGUAGUGACUUAUAGGACAAUCUUCCUACAGAUGCAUGAUGUGAGGUUGGGAUACGACAUCCAGUGGGUACGUUUGUUCACGUCGUCUUACAGCGGUUCUCGUUGUGUCUUAAAGAGUCCUUGUAGCUUGCUAUGACUCGGGGAUACUUCGUAAGUCAUGUACACUACCUUGCACAUGAUGGCUACUGUAAAUUCGAGCCCGUGCGAUCUUAUCCACGAAGAUAUCGGAUGAAAUCUCGAUCAUAUGUUUGUUCCAAGCAGUUCUAGCUCAUACUUGUUUGCAAGUGGUCUUAAUCAGAAUUUUGUCGACAGUCACUUUGAGGAAGCAUUCUUACUAUUUUGUUUGAGUGCAAAUGCUAUAUUCCUGUUCAGAUAUUCCUGCCUUUUUGAUUCAGCUUUACCUUCAAUUUAUUCUGUGGGCUAAUGUGUUGUCCGUCUUCAGGAUGGCUCCACCAACUCGUCAGAAUCCAGGUCAUGAGGGUGCUGACAUGCCGCCGCCACCUCCUCCUCCAGAGAAUCCUCCUCUGCCGCCGCCUCCUCCUGCAGAGGCUUAGCAAGCGGUGAUGACUGCUACAAAUGCAAACUCUCAGAUGCUGAUAUAGUUGUUGCAAGAGAGGACUAAUCAGCAGCAAUGCAACUUCCAUCAUGGGGGCAAUCAAUUUGCUAAUCUGAGUCAGUUCCUGUCAAAUCAGCCGAAGACCUUCACGUCGUGUGACCAGCCGUUUGAUGCUGAGGAUUGGAUCCGCGACAUGAACAAGAACUUUGAAUGCAUCAAUGUUCGUCCAGAGGAUUUCGUCAAGUUUGCAACAUUCCAGCUGAAGGGGCAAGCAUCUAUCUGGUGGCAAAAGUUGAAGGAUUCCAGUGGUGCCAGAGUGAUCUCUUGGGAUGAGUUCUGCAGAGACUUCAGAUCCCACUUCAUCCCGUCCAACUUUGUGUAGGAGAUGCGUGAGAAUUUCAGGCGCUUGAAGCAAGGUGGUAACUCCGUGUACAAGUACAACGUCGAGUUCCACGAGCUAGCCCGAUAUGCCUUGCAGGACAUUCCUGAUCAGAAGAGCAAGAUUUAUCAGUUCAGAGGUGGUUUAAAAGAGGAUUUGCAGCUAGCUCUCACUUUGCACGAUCCUGAGGAGUUCAAUAAGUUCUACAAUUUAGCUCUCAGGACUGAGGUAGCUUUGCUCAGGGUGGGGAAUUCAAAGAAGUGCUUCAGAGAUUCCAGCUCGUCUUCCUCAACUCAGGUGGUUCAGAAGCAACAUAAGUAUUAGGUGUCUCCUCCUCCUCCUCAGCACACGCAGCAGUUCAAGCAUUCAGGUGGCCGUGGUUCUUCCCACCCACCCAACCCAGCUUUCUAGCAGAGGUUUCAGCAGCAGAAGCAAGGGCCUCCUUAGACACAGUACCGUCAGUCGACAGAUGUUACUUGUCACAAGUGUGGGCAGAAGGGUCACUAUGCCAACAAGUGCACUUCUCAGCUCCGUCUUCCGCCUCCUCCUCCAGGCAAACCUCCAAGCAAUGCUAUCGUGAAGUUCAACCCCAAGUCUGCUAGAGUCAAUAUGGUGAAUGCAGCUCAAGCACAGAACUCGUCAGAUGUGAUUAUGGGUAACCUCCUCGUUAAUGAUAUUCCUGCUAAGGUUUUAUUUGAUUCUGGUGCAUCGCAUUUGUUUAUCUCAAGGCCAUUCUCAUUCAAGCAUGGGUUCUCAACUCAUGAUUUGCCUAAGCCUCUAUCAAUUGUGUCUCCCGGCAAGAUCAUGAAUUCCCACAUGGUGGUUCCGAAUGUUUCUGUUAAGAUGGGUAGUUAUUCUUUUCCGGCGUCUCCUAUUGUCUUGGGCAAUUCCGACAUUGAUUUGAUCCUUGGUAUGGAUUGGUUGGCCAUGAACAAGGCAUCGAUUGAUUGUGAAGCUAAAGAAGUGAAGCUUACUCACUCUUCGGAGGACGUCUUUAUCUUCGCGGCGCGCGAUGACACAAUCCCUCUGUUCUCUUUGAAUGAAAAGGGUGAGAUUAAUCCAAUUUUGCAAGUCCCACUGGUCUGCGAAUAUGAAGAUGUGUUUCCAAAAGAACUGCCAGGAAUGCCUCCUGCUUGCUAGCAGUCCACGACAAAGACACUAGGAGAAUGUUGUUGAUGUGUGCCUGACUUGAUGCCUCCGCGGCAACAGAGCCAGAACUGCUCCCAGUUGCUCAACAAUUAGCAAUUGUCUUGCAAUGGCCCACCAGCGUGUGGGUUUGCGACAAUUUUCGAGGGUAGAGUAUUCAACCCAAAUUUGUUGGUUCACCAGACGGGAAGUGAAAGGAUACUCUCAAGUAUUAGCAGCUGAAUGUGUCGGAUUCAACCACACCUGAAAGAUUUGUAUCUGCAAGCAAAGUAUCAGUAGCAAAGUAGUAUGAUAACAACGGUGCCAGAAAUGAUAUGUUGACGGCAGACUAUUCCUAACUGUUGUAUCAAUGGCGCCAGAAGUUGACCGUGGACGGAAAAUAUUCUUUCCCGUCAACGACACGAGAAAAAGUAUUGUAGCAGGUAGCAGCAGUGUAACGAGUAACAACAGUGGCAAGGAACAACAGUAGUGACAGCAGUAAAAAGUAGCAACAGUAGCAAGUAACAGUACCAGCAGCAGUAGUAACAGCAGCAGAGCAAAACAAGUAACCACAGUAGUGGGAGAAACAUGAACUCCUCAAACUAUGGUCAUCACCGGGAGUGGUUCCAGUUAUUGUCACUCCGGGGUUGCCGGGUCAUAACACAUAGUUGGUAACUACAACUUGCAAGAUCGGAUCUAAAACACACAUAUAUUGGUGACAACAUAAUAAUUUCAGAUCUGAAAUCAUGGCACUCGGGCCCUAGUGACAAGUAUUAAGCAUGGCAAAGUAGUAGCAACAUCAAUCUCACAACAUAGUGGAUACUAGGGAUCAAUCCCCGUCAAAAUUAACUCGAUUACAUGAUAGAUCUCAUCCUACUCAUCACCGCCCAGCGAUCCUACGAAUAGAUUACUCACGAACGAUGAAGAGCUUCAUGGAAUUGGAGGGGGAAGAAGGUUGAUGAUGACGAUGGCGACGAUUUCCCCUCUCCGGAGCUCAAAACAGACUCCACAUCUGACCUCCAGAUGAAGAACAGGAUGUGGCGGCGCCUCCGUAUCGCAAACGCGAUGAAAUCUUCUCUCUUGAUUUUUUUCUGAGCGAAAGUGAAUUUAUAGAGCUGGAGUUGGGGGCAGCAGACCCAUGUGGGCCCCACAAGCUUGGUUGCCGUGGCUAGGGGGGCCGCGGCAACACGGCUUGUGGCCCACUGGCACAUCCCCUCCGGUGGAUCUUUGUGCAGGUAUUUUUCAUAUUUUCCAGAAAUAUUCUCUGUAAAUUUUCAAGACGUUCCGAGAACUUUCAUUUCUGCACAAAAACAACACCAUGACAAUUCUGCUGAAAACAACGUCAGUCCGGGUUAGUUCCAUUCAAAUCAUGCAAAUUAGAGUCCAAAACAAGGGCAAAAGAGUUCGGAAAAGUAGAUACGAUGGAGACGUAUCAACUCCCCCAAGCUUAAAACAUUGCUUGUCCUCAAGCAACUCAGUUGACAAACUGAAAGAGAAAGAAAAACUUUGACAAACUCUGUUUGAUCUUGUUGUUGCAACUAUGUCUAACUCGUAACCAGAAUUUCAGCAAUAUCACAAGUUAACCACAUAAGCAAGUGACACAAAGGUCUCACGGUAAACUAAUGUCAAUGGUAUAAUCAGCUAGCGAGCAAAUAAUAAUAAGUUUCAGAUACCAACAAUUCAAUCAAAACAAGAAGGAAGCAAUAUGAAUAGGUGGUAUCUCGCUAGCUCUUUCUGAGACCGCAAAACAUAAAUGUAGAGCACUUUCAAAGAUCAAGGGCUGACUAAACAUUGUAAUUCAUAGCAACGAAGAUCCAGUCAUAGUCAUACGCAAUAUCAAUCAAAAGCAAAGCAUAAAAAUGACAGAGGUGCUCUCUAAUUGGUGCUUAUAUAUGAAGAGGAUGACUCAAUAGGAAAAUAAAUAGGCAAGCCCUUUGCAGAGGGAAGCAUUGAUUUGCAGAGGUGCCAGAGCUCAAGCUUUGAAAACAGAUAUAAUAAUUUUGGGUGGCAUGCUUUCAUUGUCAACGCAAUGACCAAGACUUCUCAAUAUCUUCCAUGCUACUCAUGCUAUAGGCGGUUCCCAAACAGAAAAGUAAAGUUUUAACUCCCCCACCACCAAUCAAUCACACUCCACGGCUAGUCGAAUCCUCGGGUACCAUCCAUACUAACAUCAAUCCGGGGGGAGCCUUGUUUUACAGUUAUGUUUUUGAUUUAAGCGUGGAACUGGUCAUUCCAAUUACCGGCCCCUUUCUAGUGAAUGACAGUGAAUAAACACAUGUCGAGGAUAACACGCCUAACAUGGAAGAUACCAAUAGCCCCCUGUCACCACAUGAGCGGUUCGGGCAUGCAAAACAGAUUAUUUCUUGAAGGUUUAGAGAAUGGCACAUGCAAAUUUACUUGGAACGGCAGGUAAAUACCGCAAAUAGGUAGGUAUGGUGGACUCUCAUCGAAAAACUUUUGGGUUUAUGGAAGUGGAUGCACAAGCAGUAUUCCGCUUAGUACAAGUGAAGGCUAGCAAAAGACUGGGAAGCGACCAACUAGAGAGCGACAACGGCCAUCAAGAUGCAAUUAGUUUGACUAAUAUGGAGUGCAAGCAUGAACAUGAUAUAAAUCACCAUGAACACGAACAUCAUAGAGGCUAUGUUGAUUUUUUUCAACUACAUGCAUGAACAUGCGCCAAGUCAAGCCACUUGAAUCAUUCAAAGAAGAAUACCAUCCUAUCAUACUACAUCAUAGUCAUCUCAAAAUCUAUGUCGGCAUCCAAGACAAACCAUUAUAAGCUCCUAGCUAAAUAAGCAUGGCAUCAGAAACUAUGAUCUCUAAGUUGUCAUUGCAAACAUGGUUCUCUCACAACAAAGCUGAAUCUGGGACGACAAGCUAGUCAUAUUUACAAAAACAAAAUAGAUAGAGUUCAUACCAGCUUUUCCAGGCUCAGUCACUUCAUCAUAUAUCGUCAUUAUUUCCUUUCACUUGCACGACGGAAUGAUGUGAACAAUAAUAAGCGUGCUCGUGCAAUGGACUAAGCUGAAUCUGCAGGCAAACACAAAGGAGAAGACAAAGUAAUAUGGCUCUUUGAAAGCUAAACAGGUAUGCAUGCAAGAGCCACUAAACAUUGUAACCAAUAUCUUCUACCUUGACCCAAAGAAAAAGAAAACUAUUUACACGGGAAAACUCCCAACAAGCAAAAGAAGAAAGGAAAAUAUUUUUGGGUUUUCUCAAAAGGACACAAAACAAGAAAAGAAGAAAAAGAAAAUAAACUAGCAUGGAUAAUACAGUGGCAAAGUGUAAACACCGGCUAACAAGGUGAAAGCAUAAGCAUGAAUGUAAGGUCGGUGAGAACACGUACUCCCCCAAGCUUAGGCUUUUGGCCUAGCUUGGUCUACUACCAAGGACGGUCCUGGCAAAAUCCAAAAUCAUAAUCGGGGUUUUACGGGAGCGCUGCAGCCACUGCCUGAAUAGCUGCCUCAUAAAGACGCGCAGCCGUCGCCUCCCUCUCAUACUCCUUCGCCUCUCCUAUGGUUAUGUAGUAUCUCCGUUUUACCUGAAAGUCAAAGAAAGCAGGAGCAGCAAGGGUAAUAUGGAAGACACGCUGCCGGUUAAAAUCAAUCGGUAUAGGAGGGAUUCAUCAUCCUUCUCAAGGAACUGGUAAUGUGUCAUAGCGACGCGGUCAAGGAAAGCUGUAUGGAGCGGGGGAUCUUCUGCGCGGAUGGGUACUCCAAGAAAAUUUUCCAUGCGGGUGGCAUAGAUGCCGCCAAAGAAAUCCCCCUCAAUAGCAUUCUUAUUCAACCUCCUUGCUAUAAUAGCUCCAAUGUUGAAGCUUUUGUCACCCGUAACUGCGCUCUUAAGGAUACUAAGGUCGGAUGCGCAUAGGUGCCAAUGUUCAACUUUACCGUUAAUGCAUCUACCUAUGAAGAGGGCAAAGUACUGCAAGGCAGGGAAAUGAAUGCUUCCUAUGGUAGCUUGCGUGAUGUCUCUAGUUUCUCCAACAGAUAUACUAGAGAAAAAGUCUCUAACCGAAGAUUUAGCAGGAUCUUUAAGAUUACCCCCAUCGGGUAUUUUGCAAAUUCUGUUAAAAUCCUCCAAAUCCAUGGCGUAGGAUUUAUCAUACAGAUCAAACAGUAUGGAUGAGUCACGGCCAACUGAAAAUUUAAAUCUACGCACAAAAGAUGAAGUGAGCAUAGCAUACUGUUCACAUUUAUCUGAGAGGAAUUCUUCUAACCCGGCAUUGCGGACAAGUGUAUCAAACUCAUCCUUGAAGCCUGCAUCGAUCAUGAACUCAUUGGAAGGCCACUCACAUGGUUGUACCGGUGCGUCCCUUAGUUGAUAAGGAUCGGGCUCCAGAAUAGAAAGAUGGGGACCCUUCUUACUUGAGGAACCACCAUGAAACUUCCUCCUGAACAUAAUUUCUUUUCCUGAAAUUUUUGAAGUUCAAGAGAAAAGUGAAUAAAGACCAACCACACCUUGUAGCAACUACUCCUACUAGUGCCUAGAGACCGUAUCACGCGCUAAAACUACUUGGGACCAGCUAAAAUCAACAUUUAAAGCUCAAGAACAGGGUCACCAAGGUAGCAAGAAUACGCGAAGGAUAAAGCACUAGAGAAAAAACUAAUUGGACCAAUGGAGGAGUCACUUACCAAGGAGUAAUUUCCCCAAAACGGUUCGGAGAAUGGUGCUUUGAGCAAGGAGAUCGAAAAUCACAGCCAAAUGAGCAAGACCACGGGUUUGAGUUGCGAAACGUUUUUUUCUGGAGGAAGAAGAAGAGGAUGGGAGCCGGAAUGAGUGGAGGGGGUCCCUGUGGGCCCCACAAGCUUGCUUGCCGCGGCCAGGGGGUUGGCCGCGGUGAAAGGUCUUGUGGCCCACUGGUGUGGCCCCCGGGCUAGCUCUCAGUCCCAGUAUUUUUCAAAUAUUCCAAAAAAAAUCAUACUAGAUUUUCAGGACCAUCGAAGAACUUUUAUUUUCGGGGUAUUUUUCUCCGGGAUGCUAAAACAGGAAACAGGAAAAACUAAACUAAACCUAUCAUUUUUCUUCUAAGCAAAAUAAAGUGAAAGCUUAAAACACAGGUAUGUGACUCUUUGAUUCAUCCAUUUCAUGGUCAUCGAAAGAAAUCCGUCAAUGGGGUUGAUCAAAUCCUUAUGACAAAACUUUCUCGAAUUGCAAAAGAGAACCGAGAAUUUUUUAAUAGCCACUAAGUUACCUCAAUGGGGAUAUGUAUCUCCCCAACAAGCAAAUCAUAAUUCAUCUUGACAUGAGGAAUAUGGCAUUCAAAGCUCCCAAUAAGAAUCGAUGAAGGUUUUUCGAUAGCAUUGAUGUAAUGUACUUGACAUCGUUUCUUCGGAAAGUGCACGGUAUGCUCAUUACUGUUGACAUGGAAAGUGACAUUGCCUUUGUUGCAAUCUAUAACAGCCCCUGUACUGUUUAAAAAGGGUCUUCCGAGGAUGACAACCAUGGCAUCGUCCUCGGGAAUAUCCAAGAUAACAAAGUCUGUUAAGAUAGUGGUGUUAGCAACCACAACAGGCACAUCCUCGCAAAUGCCGACAGGGAAAGCAGUUGAUUUGCCGGCCAUUUGCAGAGAGAUUUCAGUGGGUGUCAACUUAUCCAGUUCAAGUCUACGAUAAAGAGAGAGAGGCAUAACACUAACACCGGCUCCAAGGUCACAUAAGGCAGUUCUUACGUAGUUUCCUUUAAUGGAGCAAGGUAUAGUGGGCACUCCGGGAUCACCAAGUUUCUUAGGAGUUCCACCUUUGAAAGUGUAAUUGGCAAGCAUGGUGGAGAUCUCAAGAUCUGGUAUCUUCCGUUUAUUGGUCACGAUAUCUUUCAUGUACUUGGCAUAUGGAGACAUUUUGAGCAUAUCAACUAACCGCAUCUGCAGAAAGACGGGUCUUAUCAUUUCAUUAAAGUGCUCAAAAUCCUCAUCAUCUUUUUUCUUGAAUGGCUUAGGAGGGAAGGGCAUAGGUCUCUGAACCCAUGGCUCCCUUUCUUUGCCAUGCUUCCUAGCAGUGAAGUCAUUCUUAUCGUAUCUCUUAGGUUGUGGGUUAUCAGGAUUAACCGUAGGUUCAAUCUCCACAUCCUUAUCAUUGCUAGGUUGAGCAUCAUUAUGAACAUCGCUGUCCAUAUUGUCACCAGGUUCAUGUUCAUCACCAGAUUGUGUUUCUGCAUCACACGCAGAAAUAUCAUUUGGUUCUUCAGGUGUGACCGUAUUUGGUGAACUAUCAUGCAGGUUUCUAUCAUCCUUCUUCUUCUCCUUAGUAUGACUGGGUGUAUCAGCAUUAAUUCCUUGAGAAUCUUGAUGACACAGUUGUCAUCUAAUUCAUUGAGCAGGUCAUUCUGAGCUUUAAGUACUUGUUCUACCUGAGUAGUAAUCAUAGAGGCAUGUUUACUCAGAAGCUUCAGAUCAUUGACAUUUUUGUCUACACAAGCACUUAAAUGACUAAGCAUACGUGUACUUUGUUCCAAAUGUCUGCUAACAUAAUCAUUGAAACUCUAUUGUUUGGCAACAAAGUUGUCAAAUACAUCAAAUUAAGCAUAGGCUAGCAGGUUUAUCAAAAGGAAUAUCACUCUCAUCAAACUACGCAGAGAAUUUACUUCCACUACGUGUAUCGGGUUAUCGAGACCAUGAAUCUCUUCGAUAGGUCGUAGACUUUUGACAUCUUUAGAUCUAAUGCCUUUCUCUUGCAUAGAUUUCUUGGCUUCUUGCAUAUCUUCGGGACUGAGGAAUAGAGUACCUCUUGCUGGAAAUAUGCCCUAGAGGCAAUAAUAAAUUAGUUAUUAUUAUAUUUCUUUGUUCAUGAUAAUCGUUUAUUAUCCAUGCUGUAAUUGUAUUGAUUGGAAACACAGUGCAUGUGUGGAUACAUAGACAAAACACUGUCCCUAGUAAGCCUCUAGUUGACUAGCUCGUUGAUCAAAGAUGGUCAAGGUUUCCUGACCAUAGGCAAGUGUUGUCACUUGAUAACGGGAUCACAUCAUUAGGAGAAUCAUGUGAUGGACUAGACCCAAACUAAUAGACGUAGCAUGUUGAUCGUGUCAUUUUGUUGCUACUGUUUUCUGCGUGUCAAGUAUUUUUUUCCUAUGACCAUGAGAUCAUAUAACUCACUGACACCGGAGGAAUGCUUUGUGUGUAUCAAACGUCGCAACGUAACUGGAUGACUAUAAAGAUGCUCUACAGGUAUCUCCGAAGGUGUUUGCUGAGUUAGUAUGGAUCAAGACUGGGAUUUGUCACUCAGUAUGACGGAGAGGUAUCUCGGGGCCCACUCGGUAAUACAACAUUACACACAAGCCUUGCAAGCAAUGUGACUUAGUGUAAGUUGCGGGAUCUUGUAUUACGGAACGAUAAAAGAGACUUGCCGGUAAACGAGAUUGAAAUAGGUAUGCGGAUACUGACGAUCGAAUCUCAGGCAAGUAACGUAGCGAAGGACAAAGGGAAUGACAUACGGGAUUAUAUGAAUCCUUGGCACUGAGGUUCAAACGAUAAGAUCUUCGUAGAAUAUGUAGGAUCCAAUAUGGGCAUCCAGGUCCCUCUAUUGGAUAUUGACCGAGGAGUCUCUCGGGUCAUGUCUACAUAGUUCUCGAACCCGCAGGGUCUGCACACUUAAGGCUCGAUGUUGUUUUAUGCGUAUUAGAGUUAUAUGGUUGGUUACCGAAUGUUGUUCGGACUCCCGGAUGAGAUCACAGACGUCACGAGGGUUUCCGGAAUGGUCCGAAAAUGAAGAUUGAUAUAUAGGAUGACCUCAUUUGGUUACCGGAAGGUUUUCGUGCAUUACCGGAAAAGUUUCGGGCUCAUCGGUAGUGUACUGGGAGUGCCGGGAGGGGUGCCGGGGACCAUCAGGAGGGGUUUCACGCCCCAAGGGGUCUCAUGGGCUAUGGGAAGAGAUAAACCAGCCCCUAGUGGGCUGGAAUAAGUUCCCACUAAGACCCAUAAGGUUUGAGAAGAGAAAACACAAGGUGCAAAGAGUUUCCAAGUGGGAAGGUGGAAUCCUACUCCAAGUAGGAUUGGAGUAGGACUUCUCCACCUCCAAUUUCGGCCAAACCUUUAGGUUUUGAGUCUGCCUCCUCCCCUCCCUCCCUCCUAUAUAUAGUGGGGUUUUAGGGCUGAUUUGAGACAACUUUUGCCACGGCAGCCCGACCACAUACCUCCACGGUUUAACCUCUAGAUCGCGUUUCUACGGAGCUCGGGCGGAGCCCUGCUGAGAUUAGAUCAUCACCAACCUCCGGAGCGCUGUCACGCUGCCGGAGAACUCNNNNNNNNNNNNNNNNNNNNNNNNNNNNNNNNNNNNNNNNNNNNNNNNNNNNNNNNNNNNNNNNNNNNNNNNNNNNNNNNNNNNNNNNNNNNNNNNNNNNCUCUUCUACCUCUCCGUCUCUCUUGCUGGAUCAAGAAGGCCGAGAUCAUCGUCGAGCUGUACGUGUGCUGAACGCGGAGGUGCCGUCCGUUCGGUACUAGAUCGUGGGACUGAUCGCGGGAUUGUUUGCGGGGCGGAUCGAGGGACGUGAGGACGUUCCACUACAUCAACCGCGUUCUCUAACGCUUCUGUUGUACGAUCUACAAGGGUACGUAAAUCACUCAUCCCCUCUCGUAGAUGGACAUCACCAUGAUAGUUCUUCGUGCGCGUAGGAAAUUUUUUGUUUCCCAUGCGACGUUCCCCAACAGUGGCAUCAUGAGCUAGGUUCAUGCGUAGAUGUCUUCUCGAGUAGAACACAAAAGGUUUUGUGGGCGGUGAUGUGCGUUUUGCUGCCCUCCUUAGUCUUUUCUUGAUUCCGCGGUGUUGUUGGAUUGAAGCGGCUUGGACCGACAUUACUCGUACGCUUACGAGAGACUGGUUUCAUCGUUACGAGUAACCCCCUUUGCUCAAAGAUGACUGGCAAGUGUCGGUUUCUCCAACUUUAGUUGAAUCGGAUUUGACCGAGGAGGUCCUUGGAUGAGGUUAAAUAGAAACUCAUAUAUCUCCGUUGUGGUGUUUGCGUAAGUAAGAUGCGAUCCUACUAGAUACCCUUGGUCACCACGUAAAACAUGCAACAACAAAAUUAGAGGACGUCUAACUUGUUUUUGCAGUGUAUGAUUGUGAUGUGAUAUGGCCAACGAUGUGAUGUGAUAUAUUGGAUGUAUGAGAUGAUCAUGUUGUAAUAGAAAUAUCGACUUGCACGUCGAUGGUACGGCAACCGGCAGGAGCCAUAGGGUUGUCUUUAUACUAACAUAUGUGCUUGCAGAUGCGUUUACUAUUUUGCUAGGAUGUAGCUUUAGUAGUGAUAGCAUAAGUAGCACGACAACCACGAUGGCAACACGUUGAUGGAUGAUCAUGGUGUGGCGCCGGUGACAAGAAGAUCGUGCCGGUGCUUUGGUGAUGGAGAUCAAGAAGCACAUGAUGAUGGCCAUAUCAUGUCACUUAUGAAUUGCAUGUGAUGUUAAUCCUUUUUGCACCUUAUUUUGCUUAGAACGACGGUAGCAUUAUGAGGUGAUCUCUCACUAAAAUUUCAAGACGAAAUUGUGUUCUCCCCGACUGUGCACCGUUGCUACAGUUCGUCGUUUCGAGACACCACGUGAUGAUCGGGUGUGAUAGACUCAACGUUCACAUACAACGGGUGCAAAACAGUUGCGCACGCGGAACACUCGGGUUAAGCUUGAUGAGCCUAGCAUGUGCAGACAUGGCCUCGGAACACAUGAGACCGAAAGGUCGAUCAUGAAUCAUAUAGUUGAUAUGAUUAGCAUAGGGAUGCUUACCACUGAAACUAUUCUCAACUCACGUGAUGAUCGGACUUGGGAUAGUGUAAGUGGAUCAUGAACCACUCAAAUGACUAGAGAGAUGUACUUUUUGAGUGGGAGUUUAGCAUAUAAUUUGAUUAAGUUGAACUCUAAUUAUCUUGAACAUAGUCUAAGUCCACUUUGAAUAUAUUUGUGUUGUAGAUCAUGGCUCACGCAAGUGUCAUCCUGAAUUUUAAUACGUUCCUAGAGAAAGCUAAGUUGAAACAUGAUGGAAGCAACUUUGUAGACUGGGCUCGUAAUCUUAAGCUAAUCUUACAAGCUGGAAAGAAGGAUUAUGUCCUUAAUGCUGCGCUUGGAGAUGAACCACCCGCUACGGCUGAUCAGGAUGUUAAGAACGCUUGGUUAGCGCGUAAGGAGGACUACUCAAUAGUUCAAUGUGCAGUCUUGUAUGGCUUAGAACCGGGACUUCAACGUCGCUUUGAGCGUCAUGGAGCAUUUGAGAUGUUCCAGGAGUUGAAGUUUAUCUUUCAGAAGAACACCCGGAUCGAGAGGUAUGAGACCUCCGAUAAAUUCUAUGCUUGCAAGAUGGAGGAAAACUCGUCUGUCAGUGAACAUGUGCUCAAAAUGUCUGGGUACUCAAACCGUCUAGCUGAACUGGGGAUUGAACUCCCGCAAGAAGCUAUCACUGACAGAAUCCUUCAAUCACUGCCGCCAAGCUACAAAGGCUUUGUGUUGAACUACAACAUGCAAGGGAUGAACAAGUCUCCCGGCGAGUUGUUUGCGAUGCUGAAAGUCGCAGAGUCUGAACUCCGUAAAGAGCAUCAAGUGUUGAUGGUGAGCAAUACCACUAGUUUCAAGAGAAACGGCAAAGGCAAGAAGGGCAAUUCGAAGAAGAGCGGCAAGCCUGUUGCCAAUCCGCCGAAGAAACCCAAGGCUGGACCUAAGCCUGAAACAGAGUGCUUCUAUUGCAAGGGUAUGGGUCACUGGAAGCGCAAUUGCCCCAAGUAUCUGGCAGAUAAGAAGGCGGGCAAAGAAAAAUCAGGUAUAUUUGAUAUACAUGUUAUUGAUGUGUACUUAACCGGCUCUCGUAGUAGUGCCUGGGUAUUUGAUACCGGUUCUGUUGCUCACAUUUGCAACUCGAAACAGGAACUGCGGAAUAGACGAAGGCUGGCGAAAGACGAAGUGACGAUGCGCGUAGGAAACGGUUCCAAGGUUGAUGCAAUCGCCGUCGGCACAGUGUCACUUCAACUACCAUCGGGAUUAGUGAUGAACUUAAAUCAUUGUUAUUUAGUGCCUGCGUUGAGCAUGAACAUUAUAUCUGGAUCUUGUUUAUUGCGAGACGGUUACUCUUUUAAGUCUGAGAAUAAUGGUUGUUCUAUUUCUAUGAGUAACAUCUUUUAUGGUCAUGCACCGAAUGUGAGAGGAUUGUUCAUAUUGAAUCUCGAUAGCGAUACGCAUAUACAUAACAUUGAGACCAAAAAGAGUUAGAGUAAACAAUGAUAGCGCCAUAUUUUUGUGGCACUGCCGCUUGGGUCAUAUUGGUGUAAAGCGCAUGAAGAAACUCCAUGCUGAUGGACUUUUGGAGUCACUUGACUUUGAUUCACUUGACACGUGCGAACCAUGCCUCAUGGGCAAGAUGACUAAGACUCCGUUCUCCGGAACAAUGGAGCGUGCAAGUGACUUAUUGGAAAUCAUACAUACCGAUGUGUGUGGUCCAAUGAGCGUGGAGGCACGCGGCGGAUAUCGUUAUUUUCUCACCUUCACUGACGAUUUAAGUAGAUAUGGUUAUGUCUACUUAAUGAAGCACAAGUCUGAAACAUUUGAAAAGUUCAAGCAAUUUCAGAGUGAAGUGGAAAAUCAUCGUAACAAGAAGAUCAAGUUCCUACGGUCUGAUCGUGGGGGUGAAUAUCUGAGUUUCGAGUUUGGUACUCACUUAAGACAAUGUGGAAUUGUUUCACAGUUAACACCGCCUGGAACACCACAGCGUAAUGGUGUGUCCGAACGUCGUAAUCGUACUUUGUUAGAGAUGGUGCGAUCUAUGAUGUCUCUUACUGAUUUGCCGUUAUCUUUUUGGGGUUAUGCAUUAGAAACAACUGCAUUCACUUUAAAUAGGGCACCAUCGAAAUCCGUUGAGACGACACCAUACGAACUGUGGUAUUGCAAAAGGCCAAAGUUGUCGUUUUUAAAGUUUGGGGAUGUGAUGCUUAUGUCAAAAAGCUUCAGCCUGAAAAGCUGGAACCCAAAGCGGAAAAGUGCAUCUUCAUAGGUUACCCAAAAGAGACGGUUGGGUACACCUUCUAUCUCAAAUCCGAGGGCAAAGUGUUUGUUGCUAAGAACGGAACUUUUCUCGAGAAGGAGUUUCUCUCGAGAGAAUUGAGUGGGAGGCAGAUAGAACUUGACGAGGUUGUCGAACCUCUCAUCCCUCUGGAUGGUGGCGCAGGGCAAGGGGAGACCUCUGUCGUUGCGACGCCGGUUGAGGAGGAAGUUAAUGAUGGUGAUCAUGAAACUCCAGUUCAAGUUUCUGUUGAACCACGCAGGUCGACGAGAUCACGUGCUGCUCCAGAGUGGUACGGUAAUCCCGUCUUAUCGAUCAUGUUGUUAGACAACAAUGAACCUGCGAAUUAUGAAGAGGCAAUGGUGGGCCCAGAUUCCAACAAAUCGCUAGAAGCCAUGAAAUCCGAGAUAGGAUCCAUGUAUGAGAACAAAGUGUGGACUUUGGAGAUACUACCUAAGGGCCGCAAGGCUAUUCAGAACAAAUGGAUCUUUAAGAAGAAGACGGACGCUGACGGUAAUGUGACCGUUUAUAAAGCUCGACUUGUGGCAAAGGGUUUUUCACAAGUUCCAGGAGUUGACUACGAUGAGACCUUCUCACCCGUAGCGAUGCUUAAGUCCGUCAGAAUCAUGUUAGCAAUAGCUGCAUUUUUCGAUUAUGAAAUCUGGCAGAUGGAUGUCAAAACGGCGUUCCUGAAUGGUUUCCUUAAGGAAGAGUUGUAUAUGAUGCAACCCGAAGGUUUUGUCGAUCCUAAGAAUGCUGACAAGGUGUGCAAGCUCCAGCGAUCCAUUUAUGGACUGGUGCAAGCAUCUCGGAGUUGGAACAAACGCUUUGAUGAGGUGAUCAAAGCAUUUGGGUUUAUACAAGUGGUUGGAGAAUCUUGUAUUUACAAGAAAGUGAGUGGGAGCUCUGUGGCGUUUCUAAUAUUAUAUGUGGAUGACAUAUUACUGAUUGGAAACAACGUAGAGCUUUUGGAGAGCAUAAAAGGUUACUUGAAUAAAAGUUUCUCUAUGAAGGACCUAGGAGAAGCUGCUUACAUACUAGGCAUUAAGAUCUAUAGGGAUAGAUCAAAACGCCUGAUAGGACUUUCACAAAGCACAUACCUUGAUAAAGUUUUGAAGAGGAUCAAAAUGGAACAGUCCAACAAAGGGUUCUUGCCAGUGUUACAAGGUACGAGAUUGAGUAAGACUCAGUGCCCAGCAACUGAUGAAGAUAGAGAGCAUAUGCGCUCCAUCCCCUAUGCCUCAGCCAUAGGCUCUAUCAUGUAUGCAAUGCUGUGCACUAGACCGGAUGUUAGCCUGGCCAUAAGUAUGGCAGGUAGGUUCCAGAGUAAUCCAGGAGUGGAUCACUGGACGGCGGUCAAGAAUAUCCUGAAGUACCUGAAAAGGACUAAGGAAAUGUUUCUCGUGUAUGGAGGUGAUGAAGAGCUCGCCGUAAAGGGUUACGUUGAUGCAAGCUUUGACACAGAUCCGGACGACUCUAAGUCGCAAACCGAAUACGUAUUUAUUCUUAAUGGGGGUGCAGUAAGCUGGUGCAGUUCCAAGCAAAGCGUCGUAGCAGAUUCUACAUGUGAAGCAGAGUACAUCGCUGCCUCGGAGGCGGCUAAGGAGGGUGUCUGGAUGAAGCAGUUCAUGACGGAUCUUGGAGUGGUGCCAAGUGCACUGGAUCCAAUAACCUUGUUCUGUGACAACACUGGUGCCAUUGCUUUAGCAAAGGAACCAAGGUUUCACAAGAAGACCAGACACAUCAAACGACGCUUCAACCUCAUCCGCGACUACGUCGAGGAGGAGGACGUAAAUAUAUGCAAAGUGCACACGGAUCUGAAUGUAGCAGACCCGCUGACUAAACCUCUUCCACGACCAAAACAUGAUCGACACCAGAACUGUAUGGGUGUUAGAUUUAUUACAAUGUAAAUCACAUAGUGAUGUGAGGGCUAGAUUAUUGACUCUAGUGCAAGUGGGAGACUGUUGGAAUUAUGCCCUAGAGGCAAUAAUAAAUGUAUAGUUAUUAUUAUAAUUCCUGUAUCAAGAUGAUAGUUUAUUAUCCAUGCNNNNNNNNNNNNNNNNNNNNNNNNNNNNNNNNNNNNNNNNNNNNNNNNNNNNNNNNNNNNNNNNNNNNNNNNNNNNNNNNNNNNNNNNUCAUAUAACUCACUGACAUCGGAGGAAUGCCUUGUGUGUAUCAAACGUCGCAACGUAACUGGGUGACUAUAAAGAUGCUCUAGAGGUAUCUCCGAAGGUGUUAGUUGAGUUAGUAUGGAUCAAGACUGGGAUUUGUCACUCCGUAUGACGGAGAGGUAUCUCGGGGCCCACUCGGUAAUACAACAUNNNAUAGUUUAUUAUCCAUGCUAUAAUUGUAUUGAAUGAAGACUCAUUUACAUGUGUCGAUACAUGGACAAAACACCGUCCCUAGCAUGCCUCUAGUUGGCUAGCCAGUUGAUCGAGGAUAGUCAGUGUCUUCUGAUUAUGAACAAGGUGUUGUUGCUUGAUAACUGGAUCACGUCAUUGGGAGAAUCACGUGAUGGACUAGACCCAAACUAAUAGACGUAGCAUGUUGAUCGUGUCAUUUUGUUGCUACUGUUUUCUGCGUGUCAAGUAUUUAUUCCUAUGACCAUGAGAUCAUAUAACUCACUGACANNNNNNNNNNNNNNNNNNNNNNNNNNNNNNNNNNNNNNNNNNNNNNNNNNNNNNNNNNNNNNNNNNNNNNNNNNNNNNNNNNNNNNNNNNNNNNNNNNNNNNNNNNNNNNNNNNNNNNNNNNNNNNNNNNNNNNNNNNNNNNNNNNNNNNNNNNNNNNNNNNNNNNNNNNNNNNNNNNNNNNNNNNNNNNNNNNNNNNNNNNNNNNNNNNNNNNNNNNNNNNNNNNNNNNNNNNNNNNNNNNNNNNNNNNNNNNNNNNNNNNNNNNNNNNNNNNNNNNNNNNNNNNNNNNNNNNNNNNNNNNNNNNNNNNNNNNNNNNNNNNNNNNNNNNNNNNNNNNNNNNNNNNNNNNNNNNNNNNNNNNNNNNNNNNNNNNNNNNNNNNNNNNNNNNNNNNNNNNNNNNNNNNNNNNNNNNNNNNNNNNNNNNNNNNNNNNNNNNNNNNNNNNNNNNNNNNNNNNNNNNNNNNNNNNNNNNNNNNNNNNNNNNNNNNNNNNNNACGAUCGAAUCUCGGGCAAGUAACAUACCGAAGGACAAAGGGAAUGACAUACGGGAUUAUACGAAUCCUUGGCACUGAGGUUCAAACGAUAAGAUCUUCGUAGAAUAUGUAGGAUCCAAUAUGGGCAUCCAGGUCCCGCUAUUGGAUAUUGACCGAGGAGUCUCUCGGGUCAUGUUCAUAUAACUCACUGACACCGGAGGAAUGCCUUGUGUGUAUCAAACGUCGCAACGUAACUGGGUGACUAUAAAGAUGCUCUACAGGUAUCUCCGAAGGUGUUAGUUGAGUUAGUAUGGAUCAAGACUGGGAUUUGUCACUCCGUAUGAUGGAGAGGUAUCUCGGGGCCCACUCGGUAAUACAACAUCACACACAAGCCUUGCAAGCAAUGUAACUUAGUGUAAGUUGCGGGAUCUUGUAUUACGGAACGAGUAAAGAGACUUGCCGGUAAACGAGAUUGAAAUAGGUAUGCGGAUACCUACGAUCGAAUCUCGGGCANNNNNNNNNNNNNNNNNNNNNNNNNNNNNNNNNNNNNNNNNNNNNNNNNNNNNNNNNNNNNNNNNNNNNNNNNNNNNNNNNNNNNNNUGUCUGUUGGGUUGGUACGAAUCAAGAUCGGGAUUUGUCACUCCGUGUGACGGAGAGGUAUCUCUGGGCCCACUCGGUAGAACAUCAUCAUGAGCUCAAUGUGAAUAAGGAGUUAGUCACAUGAUGACGUGCUACGGAACGAGUAAAGAGACUUACCGGUAACGAGAUUGAACAAGGUAUAGGUAUACCGACAAUCGAAUCUCGGGCAAGUUCUAUACCGAUAGACAAAGGGAAUCGUAUACGGGAUUGAUUGAAUCCUUGACAUCGUGGUUCAUCCGAUGAGAUCAUCAUGGAGCAAGUGGGAGCCACCAUGGGUAUCCAGACCCCGCUGAUGGUUAUUGGCUAGAUAGGUGUCUCGGUCAUGUCUGCCUGUCUCCCGAACCCGUAGGGUCUACACACUUAAGGUUCGAUGACGUCGUCGUGCUGCUGGAGUUCUUCCCCAACCUCUCCCUCCUCCUUGCUGGAUCAAGGUGCGGGAGACGUCAACGGGCUGCGCGUGUGUUGAACGCGGAGGUGCCGUAGUUCGGCACUAGAUCGGAAUCACUGCGAGUACGACUCCAUCAACCGCGUUCUAGCAACGCUUCCACUUAGCGAUCUUCAAAGGUAUGAAGAUGCUCUUACCCCUCCCUCGUUGCUGGUCUCUCCAUAGGAAGAUCUGAAUAUGCGUAGGAAAAUUUUGAAUUUAUGCUACGUUACCCAACAGUGGCAUCCGAGCCAGGUUUUCUAUGCGUAGAUUCUAUGCACGAGUAGAACACAAAAGUUGUGGGCGAUGAUUUGUCAAUUUGCUUGCCGCUACUAGUCUUAUUCUUUUCCGGCGGUAUUGUGGGAUGAAGCGGCCCGGACCGACUUUACACGUACGCUUACGUGAGACUAGUUCCACCGACAGACAUGCACACCGUGCAUAAAGGUGGCUAGCGGGUGUUUGUCUCUCCUACUCUAGUCGGAUUGGAUUUGAUGAAAAGGGUCCUUAUGAAGGGUAAAUAGCUUUGGCAUAUCAUUGUUGUGGCUGUCACGUAGGUAAGAAGGCGUUCUUGCUAGAAACCCAAAUCAGCCACGUAAAACUUGCAACAACAAUUAGAGGACGUCUAACUUGUUUUUGCAGGGUUUGACAUGUGAUGUGAUAUGGCCAAAGUUGUGAUGUUGCAUGUAUGAUGUAUGAGAUGAUCAUGUUAUUGUAAUAGGUUUCACGACUUGCAUGUCGAUGAGUAUGACAACCGGCAGGAGCCAUGGGAGUUGUCUUAAUUUAUUGUAUGAGAUGCAACGCCAUGUGCUUACUACUUUUACUUCAUUGCUAACGGUUAGCUAUAGUAGUAGUGAUAGUAGUAGUUGGCAUGACGACUUCACGGAGACACGAUGAUGGAGAUCAUGAUGAUGGAGAUCAUGGUGUCACGCCGGUGACGAUGAUGAUCAUGCGAUGCCUGAAGAUGGAGAUCGAAAGAGCAAAGAUGAUGAUGGCCAUAUCAUGUCACUAUAUGAUUGCAUUGUGAUGUUUAUCAUGUUUUACAUCUUAUUGCUUAGAACGACGGUAGCAUAAUAAGAUGAUCCCUCUUAAAAUUUCGAGAACGUAUUCCCCUAAGUGUGCACCGUUGCGAAGGUUCGUUGUCUCGAAGCACCACGUGAUGAUCGGGUGUGAUAGAUUCUAACGUUCGCAUACAACGGGUGUAAGCCAGAUUUACACACGCGAAACACCUAGGUUGACUCGACGAGCUUAGCAUGUACAGACAUGACCUCGAAUACAAGAGACCGAAAGGUCGAACAUGAGUCGUAUGGUUGAAUACGAUCAGCAUGGAGUUGCUCACCAUGGUGACUAGUCCGUCUCACGUGAUGAUCGGACACGGGUUAGUCAACAUGGAUCAUGUAUCACUUAGAUGACUAAAGGGAUGUUGAUUUAAGUGGGAGUUCAUACUUAAUUUGAUUAAAUGAACUUAAUUGUCAUGAACUUAGUCUAAAAGUUGUCUUUAUAAAUACUGUAGAUGGCCAACGUCAACCUCAAUUUCAAUGCAUUCCUAGAGAAAAACAAGCUGAAAGAUGAUGGUAGCAACUAUGCGGACUGGGUUCGCAACUUGAAGCUCAUCCUUGAAGCAGCUAAAAAGGCUUAUGUCCUUGAUGCGCCGCUAGGUGACCCUCCCGCUCCCGCAGCAGCCCAGGACAUUAUGAACGUCUGGCAAACGCGGAGUGAUGACUACUCUCUGGUUAGGUGUGGCAUGUUAUACAGUUUAGAAACGGGGCUCCAAAGGCGUUUUGAGCAACACGGGGCAUAUGAGAUGUUCCAGGAGCUGAAGCUAGUUUUUCAAGCUCAUCCCGUGUCGAGAGAUAUGAAGUCUUCGACAAGUUCUUUAGCUGUAAGAUGGAGGAGAACAGUUCUGUCAGUGAGCACAUACUCAAAAUGUCUGGGUUACACGGUCGUCUGACUUCACUUGGAGUCGAACUUCCGGAUGAUGCUAUAAUUGACAGAAUCCUCCAGCCUCUCCCACCAAGCUACAAAGGCUUUGUGCUUAACUACAACAUACAAGGGAUGGAGAAGACCAUUCCCAAGUUAUACUCGAUGCUCAAGUCUGCAAAAGUAGAAAUCAAGAAAGAGCAUCAAGUGUUGAUGGUCAACAAGACCACUAGUUUCAAGAAAGGCAAGGGUAAGAAGAACUUCAAGAAAGACGGCAAAGCUGUUGCCGCGCCCGGUAAGCCAGAUGCCGGGAAGAAGAAAAAGAACGGACCCAAGCCUGAGACUGAGUGCUUCUAUUGCAAGGGAAAGGGUCACUGGAAGCGGAACUACCCCAAAUACUUAGCGGACAAGAAGGCCGGCAACGUUAAAGGUAUAUGUGAUAUACAUGUUAUUGAUGUGUACCUUAACAGCGCUCGUAGUAGCUCCUGGGUAUUUGAUACCGGUGAUAUUGCUCACAUUUGCAACUCAAAGCAGGAACUGCGGAAUAAGCGGAGACUGGCCAAGGACGAGGUGACGAUGCGCGUCGGGAAUGGUUCAAAGGUCGAUGUGAUCGCCGUCGGCACGCUACCUCUACAUCUACCGUCGGGAUUAGUUUAAAACCGUAAUAAUUGUUAUUUAGUACCAGCUUUAAGCAUGAACAUUGUAUCAGGGUCUUGCUUAAUGCGAGACGGCUACUCAUUUAAGUCAGAGAAUAAUGGUUGUUCUAUUUAUAUGAGUGAUAUGUUUUAUGGUCAUGCUCCGCUGGUGAAUGGUUUAUUCUUGAUGAAUCUCGAUUGUGAUGUUACACAUAUUCAUAGUGUGAGUACCAAAAGAUGUAAAGUUGAUAAUGACAGUCCCACAUACUUGUGGCACUGCCGCCUUGGUCAUAUCGGCGUUAAGCGCAUGAAGAAGCUCCAUACUGAUGGACUAUUAGAGUCUCUUGACUUUGAAUCAUUUGACACAUGCGAACCGUGCCUCAUGGGCAAGAUGACUAAGACUCCAUUCUCAGGAAUAAUGGAGAGAGCAACCGACUUAUUGGAAAUAAUACAUAUUGAUGUGUGUGGUCCAAUGAACGUUGAAGCUCGCGGUGGUUAUCGUUAUGUUCUCACUCUCACCGAUGAUUUGAGUAGGUAUGGGUAUAUCUACUUGAUGAAGCACAAAUCUGAGACGUUUGAAAAGUUCAAGGAAUUUCAGAGUGAGGUUGAGAAUCAACGUGACAGAAAAAUCAAAUGUCUACGAUUUGAUCGUGGAGGAGAAUAUUUGAGUCACGAGUUUGGCACACACCUAAGGAAGUGUGGAAUCGUUUCACAACUGACGCCGCCUGGCACACCGCAACGCAACGGAGUGUCUGAACGUCGUAAUCGCACUUUAUUAGAUAUGGUACGAUCUACGAUGUCUCUUACCGACUUACCGCUAUCAUUUUGGGGAUACGCAUUAGAAACUGCAGCAUUCACUUUAAAUAGGGCACCGUCUAAAUCCGUUGAGACGACACCGUAUGAACUAUGCUUUGGCAAGAAACCUAAGUUGUCGUUUCUUAAAGUUUGGGGCUGCGAUGCUUAUGUGAAGAAACUUCAACCAGAAAAGCUCGAACCCAAAGCGGAGAAAUGCGUAUUCAUAGGAUACCCUAAGGAAACUAUUGGGUAUACCUUCUAUCUUAGAUCCGAAGGUAAAACCUUUGUUGCCAAGAACGGAUCCUUUCUAGAGAAAGAGUUUCUCUCGAAAGAAGUAAGUGGGAGGAAGGUAGAACUUGAUGAGGUAAUUACACCCCCUCUCGAACAGGAUAGUAGCACAGCGCGGAAAGUUGUUCAUGUGGCGCCUACACCGACUGAAGAGGAAGUUAAUGAUGAUGAUCAUGAAGCUUCGGAUGAAGUUACUACUGAACUGCGAAGGUCCACAAGGGCACGCUCCGCACCAGGGUGGUACGGCAACCCUGUGAUGGAAAUCAUGUUGUUAGACAACGGUGAACCUUCGAACUAUGAAGAAGCGAUGGCGGGCCCGGAUUCCAACAAAUGGCUUGAGGCUAUGAAAUCCGAGAUAGGAUCCAUGUAUGAGAACAAAGUAUGGACUUUGGUGGACUUGCCCGAUGACCGGCGAGCCAUAGAAAAUAAAUGGAUCUUCAAGAAGAAGACUGAUGCAAACGGUAAUGUAACCGUUUACAAAGCUCGACUUGUCGCAAAGGGUUUUCGACAAAUUCAAGGAGUUGACUAUGAAGAGACUUUCUCUCCCGUAGCGAAGCUGAAAUCAGUCUGAAUCAUGUUCGCAAUUGCCGCCUUUUAUGAUUAUGAAAUUUGGCAAAUGGACGUCAAAACAGCGUUCCUUAACGGGAACCUUAAGGAAGAGUUGUAUAUGAUGCAACCAGAAGGUUUUGUCGACCCUAAGGGUGCUAACAAAGUGUGCAAGCUCCAGCGCUCCAUCUAUGGGCUGGUGCAAGCAUCUCGGAGUUGGAACAUUCGCUUUAAUGAGGUGAUUAAAGCGUUUGGAUUCAUACAGGUUUACGGAGAAGCCUGUCUGUACAAGAAAGUGAGUGGGAGCUCUGUAGCUUUACUCAUACUGUAUGUGGAUGACAUAUUAUUGAUGGGGAAUAAUAUAGAGAUGUUGGAGAGCAUAAAGGCCUAUUUGAACAAAAGUUUUUCAAUGAAGGACCUUGGAGAAGCUGCAUACAUAUUAGGCAUCAAGAUCUAUAGAGAUAGAUCAAGACGCCUCAUAGGUCUUUCGCAAAGUACAUACCUUGACAAGAUAUUGAAGAAGUUCAAUAUGGAAAACUCAAAGAAAGGGUUCUUGCCAGUUUUGCAAGGUAUGAGAUUGAGUAAGACUCAGUCGCCGACCACGGCAGCAGAUAGAGAGAAGAUGAGUUCUGUCCCCUACGCUUCAGCCGUGGGCUCUCUAAUGUAUGCCAUGCUGUGUACCAGACCUGAUAUAAACCUUGCCAUAAGUUUGGUAGGGAGGUACCAAAGUGAUCCAGGUAUGGAACACUGGACAGCGGUCAAGAAUAUCCUUAAGUACCUGAAAAGGACUAAGGAAAUGUUUCUUGUUUAUGGAGGUGACGAAGAGCUCGUCGUAAAGGGUUACGUCGACUCUAGCUUCGACACAGAUCCGGAUGACUCUAAGUCACUAACCGGAUACGUAUAAGUGUUGAAUGGUGGGGCAGUGAGCUGGUGCAGCAGCAAGCAAGAAGUUGCGGCAGCAUCUACAUGUGAAGCGGAGUACAUAGCUGCUUCAGAAGCGGCUCAUGAAGGAAUUUGGAUGAAGGAGCUCAUCACCGACCUUGGAGUGGUUCCAAGCGCGUUGGGUCCAAUGACACUCUUUUGUGAUAACACUGGAGCCAUUGCCAUAGCCAAGGAGCCCAGGUUUCACCGGAAGACGAAGCACAUCAAACGCCGCUACAACUCCAUCCAGGACCAUGUCCAGAGUGGAGUAAUAGAUAUUUGGAAAGUACACACGGAUCUGAAUAUUGCAGACCCAUUGACUAAACCUCUUCCACGAGAAAAACAUGAUCAACACCAUAAUGCUAUGGGUGUUCGAUACAUCACAAUGUAACUAGAUUAUUGACUCUAGUGCAAGUGGGAGACUGUUGGAAAUAUGCCCUAGAGGCAAUAAUAAAAUGGUUAUUAUCAUAUUUCCUUGUCCAUGAUAAUCGUCUAUUGNNNNNNNNNNNNNNNNNNNNNNNNNNNNNNNNNNNNNNNNNNNNNNNNNNNNNNNNNNNNNNNNNNNNNNNNNNNNNNNNNNNNNNNNNNNNNNNNNNNNGAUCACGAUCCGACGUCUUGGAUCGUUUCCUUGUCCGUUACGUAUUCUCCGUUCCUGACCGGCAAAAAUAAGCGCGUAGGUAUGAGCUCGGCUCGGCUCAUUCCCGCAACCCGCGGCGCGUCGUGACGAGGCGUGGCGUGGCGAGGCGGGCGGCGGAGGAGGAGUGCGCGAGGGCACCUUCUCUUCUCACUCUCCAAUAGCAUGUGGAAGAGAGACCCUUAUAAAGGGGUCCAAACUCUCCUCCACUAGCGAGGUGGGACUAAACUCCCACCACCUUGCCAUGCCACCACCUACAUGGGCCCUUUAGAUUUUCUGAAAUUCUCUAGUGGGCCUAAGGCCCACCUCCAAAUUUCAACAAUCCCCCACCAGAUCUCAAGGGCACAUCGUGUUCCCUCGUUCCAAUCACUGUUUUAAUAUACCAGCAUUUCAGUGAAGACCUGUUAAGGUUGAGCUUCACCUAGAACAAGUAGCUACACCCCUUCACAACUGAACAAUGGACUAUGCCUUGAAUUGUCAGUUUGGCGUAAAGGAGCUUCACCACAAGUCUUACUAGUACUAGGCUGCCGAAGGUGACCCCUCGGGUGGAGCAUAUUAGUCACACUCCUGGCCUAUUCAUGAGUUUACUAGAGAUCACCCAAAUCUCAUAGACUGUGACCAGCAGUCAAGCUCAUAUAGGUGUGUUCCUCCAAAGAUCGCUCUGUAGGACAGCAUCUUGCUUACAUAUAAGCUUUAGAACACAUUAAGACAGUAGUCAUCCUACCAUACAGUAUCCGAGAGUAUUGCAUCUCCAACGGAGUGGGUUAGUAAAGUUACUCUCCUCAGUUCACCACUGGCUUGUUUUCCCAGGUCCUACUUCACGGGAUCUCCGAUCAUAUAGGUUAGGUUACUACCAUGGCAACUCAUGUGGGUCUCAUACCCAUCUCCCUCGAUGCACUAUCUAUCACAACACGUGAUAGCCCUUUAGUAAAGGGAUCUGCCAGAUUCUUAGCCGUUUGGAUAUAAUCCAACGCUAUCACUCCGGAGUUUCUCAAACGUCUGACAGACUUCAAUCUCAUUCUUAUAUGUUUGUUGGACUUCAUAUUGUCCUUUGAACUCUUCACUUUAACAAUAACCGUCUGAUUAUCGCAGUUCAUAAGGAUAGCCGGAACCGGCUUCUCAACCACAGGUAAGUCCAUCAAAAGAUCUCGAAGAAAUUCUGCUUCGACACCAGAUGUGUCUAAUGCUGUUAAUUCUGCUUCCAUUGUCGAUCUUGUUAAGAUCGUUUGCUUGCAAGACUUCCAGGAAACAGCACCACCCCCAAGAGUAAACAUAUACCCAGUAGUGGCCUUCAUCUCAUCAGCAUCAGAGAUCCAAUUCGCGUCACUAUACCCUUCAAGUACCGAUGGGAAUCCCGUAUAGUGAAGCCCGUGGUUGACAGUACCUUUCAAGUAGCGCAUAAUUCUUUCAACAGCACGCCAAUGAACUUCGCCCGGGUUUGCAACAAACCGGCUAAGUUUGCUCACAGCAAACGCGAUGUCAGGCCUUGUUGCGCUAGCUAGGUACAUAAGUGAACCGAUAAUUUGAGAGAAUCUCAAUUGAUCUAUAGCUGUGCCUUUAAACUUUCGAAUAAGCACACUAGGAUCAUAUGGUGUUUGACAAAUCUUGCAGUCUGAAUAUCCAAAGCGACUCAAAAUCUUGUCAACAUAGUGGGAUUGCAGAAGUGUAAUCCCACCCUCAUCAUCUCUCAAUAGCUUGAUGUUCAAGAUAACAUCAACCACCCCAAGGUCCUUCAUCUCAAAGUUUUGAGACAGAAAGGACUUAACCUCCUCAAUUACUUUGAGGUUGGUUCCAAAUAUCAGUAUGUCAUCAACAUACAAGCACAAUAUAACUCCUUCGCCCCCACCAUGGCGAUAGUAUACACAUUUGUCAGCUUCAUUAACAACGAAGCCAACAGAUGUCAGAGUUGUAUUAAACUUCUCAUGCCAUUGCUUAGGUGCUUGUCUCAGACCAUAUAAAGAUUUCAGCAACUUACACACCUUUCCUUCCUGACCUUCUAUCACAAAGCCAUCUGGCUGUUGCAUAUAGAUUUCCUCAUUUAGCUCUCCAUUCAGGAAAGCCGUCUUAACGUCCAUUUGAUGAACGAGAAGACCAUGAGAGGCCGCCAAUGAGAGUAGUACUCUAAUGGUGGUCAGUCUAGCCACAGGUGAAUAAGUAUCGAAGAAAUCUUCCUCUUCUUUCUGGGCAUAGCCCUUGGCCACAAGCCUAGCCUUGUACUUUUCAAUUGUACCGUCGGGCCUAAGCUUCUUUUUGAACACCCACUUGCAUCCCAAUGGUUUGCAACCAUAGGGACGAUCAGUGAUUUCCCAUGUCCCGUUAGCCAUGAUGGAGUCCAUCUCGCUACGGACAGCAGCUUUCCAGUAAUCAGCAUCUGGAGAAGCAUACGCUUCUGAAAUAGAAGUGGGAUUAUCAUCCACGAGGUAUACGAAGAAAUCAUCACCAAAGGUCUUUGCAGUCCUUUGUCUCUUGCCCCUACCACGGGCUUCCUCGUCAUCCUCCUCAGGAUUUUCAUCAUGUCUUUGUUCAUAAUAUUCCAUAGGAAUGGCAGGCUCAGGAGUUAUCUCAGAUUCCUGUCUAGAAGUGCUUUGCAUAUCUCUCAUGGGAAAUAUAUCCUCAAAGAAUGUAGCAUCCCUCGACUCCAUUAUUGUACCGACCUUCACGUCAGGUACCUCAGAUUUCACUACUAGAAAUCUAUAGCCUACGCUAUUCUUAGCGUAUCCCAAAUUAACGCAAUCCACAGUCUUUGGUCCAAGCUUGCGCUUCUUGGGGAUCGGUACAUUGACUUUCGCCAAGCAGCCCCAAGUACGUAAGUACGAGAGUGUCGUCCUUCUCUUCGACCACUCCUCGUAGGGAGUGACCUCAUUAUCUUUUGUAGGAACUUUAUUCAGGACAUGACACGCGGUCAAUAUAGCCUCCCCCCACCAUGCCUUGGAUAAACCCGAUGUAUCUAACAUGGCGUUAACCAAAUCAGUUAGAGUACGGUUUUUCCGCUCGGCAACCCCGUUUGACUGGGGUGAAUAGGGAGGCGUCCUCUCAUGAAUAAUGCCGUGUUCCGCACAAAAUGAAUCAAAUUCGUUUGAGAAGUACUCUCCACCACGAUCAGACCGGACUCGUUUAAUUUUCUUUUCAAGUUGAUUCUCAACUUCUGCCUUAUAGAUUUUAAAGUAGUGUAGAGCCUCAUCUUUAGUAUUUAACAGAUACACAUAGCAAAAUCUAGUGGAAUCAUCUAUCAAUGUCAUGAAGUAUUUCUUUCCACCUUUAGUCAACACACCAUUCAUCUCACAAAGAUCAGAAUGUAUGAGUUCUAAUGGUGUCAAGUGUCUCUCCUCUGCAGCCUUGUGAGGCUUGCGAGGUUGCUUUGCUUGCACACACGAGUGGCACUUAGAACCUUUGGCUAAAGUGAAAGUUGGGAUUAAAUUCAGUUUUGCUAGCCGCGACAUAACACCGAAACUUAUGUGACAAAGACGUGAAUGCCAAACUUCAGAUUCAUUAACACUCGAAUGAAUAUUGUUCACGACUUUAUUACAAAAAUCUGCUAGAGAAAGGCGGAACAGACCUCCGCAUUCAUAACCUUUUCCAACGAAAAGUCCAUAUUUCGUAACUACUACUUUAUUAGACUCGAACACCAACUUAAACCCUUCUCUACACAGAAGGGAGCCACUAACGAGAUUCUUCUUGAUGGCGGGGACAUGCUGCACGUUCUUCAGCUGCACGAUCCUUCCCGAAGUAAACUUCAGAUCGACCGUGCCAACACCAAGAACAGAAGCACUCGCGCCAUUCCCCAUCAAUACGGACCCGCGACCGGUGGCCUGAUAAGAAGAGAACAAUGACAAGUCAGCACACACAUGAAUAUUUGCACCCGUGUCCACCCACCAAUCGGUGGACUGACAAACUGUAAAUACAGUAAGUAAAUUACCGUACCCAGAUGCACCACUUUCAUUGUUGCCCACAAUCAUGUUUGCAGACUUGGAGUCCUGCGCCGGCUUCUUGUACUUGUUUGGGCAUUUGUUCGCCCAAUGUUCCUCUGAACCACAAGUAUAGCAGCCAUCUCCCUUCUUAUUCUUCUUGAAGGGCUUCUUCCCCUUCUUCUUGAAGUCGGUAUUCUGUUGGACAGAGUUCUUUCCCUUGGGCUUGUGAGAAUUGAAGUUCCUCUGAUGUACCAUAUUGGCAGCAGAAGAGCUUUCCACCGCUUUUCCAUUGGAGUCCUUUGCUCUCGAGUUCUGCUCAACACUCAGAUGGCCGAUGAUGUCCUCUACUGAGAACUCACGCCUCUGAUGUUUCAGAGUAGUAGCAAAGUUCCUCCAGGAAUUAGGGAGCUUAGCAAUUAUACAGCCCGCGACAAACUUGCCCGGCAAAUUGCACUUAAGAACCUCAAGUUCCUUAGCUAUGCAUAUUAUCUCAUGAGCUUGUUCCAAUACAGAACGGUUGUCAACCAUCUUGUAAUCGUGGAACUGCUCCAUAACAUACAUCUCACUCCCAGCAUCGGUGGCCCCGAAUUUAGAUUCGAGCGCCUCCCACAAGUCCUUGGCAACAUGCAUAUGUAAAUAUGCAUCAACCAGCUUAUCUCCGAUCACGCUAAUGACUGCUCCAAGGAAUAGGACGGUGGCCUCCUUAAACAUCUUCUCCUGUUCAGGAGUGAUAGUUUCCGUAGGAGUGACACCGGCUACCCAGAACACGUUCAUAGCCGUGAGCCAUAAGGUGGUUCUCGUUUGCCAACGCUUGAAAAAAGUACCGGUAAACUUAUCCGGUUUCAGUGCAGCAGCAAAACCAUUACUCGAAAAAUUCCUACAGACAUUAGGUUUUUGGAUUGUUGAGUAAAUAGGCAAUUUUCCGAGUAGAUUAAUCCACAAAAUAAUAACUAGCAUGUCAUUGACUAGACUAAUGACAUACUGAUCUUGAACUAACCUAGCACAUACUACGCAUAUAGUGGAUACAUCUAUGCAAACAAGUAGUACUGCUAGAAUAAAUACGAACAAGAGGAUAAACGAGUCAUACCCUCCAAUCGGCCAGUUGGCCGUAGCAGCAGCAGCGGCGACGGCGGCAGAGGCAGUAUCCUNNNNNNNNNNNNNNNNNNNNNNNNNNNNNNNNNNNNNNNNNNNNNNNNNNNNNNNNNNNNNNNNNNNNNNNNNNNNNNNNNNNNNNNNNNNNNNNNNNNNNNNNNNNNNNNNNNNNNNNNNNNNNNNNNNNNNNNNNNNNNNNNNNNNNNNNNNNNNNNNNNNNNNNNNNNNNNNNNNNNNNNNNNNNNNNNNNNNNNNNNNNNNNNNNNNNNNNNNNNNNNNNNNNNNNNNNNNNNNNNNNNNNNNNNNNNNNNNNNNNNNNNNNNNNNNNNNNNNNNNNNNNNNNNNNNNNNNNGGCGACGCGGACGUAGACGAAGCAGACGGACGGAGGCGAGCAGUCGCGUGAUCGCUCCCCAAAAACCUAAUCGCCCCUCUCCCGUACAGGAACCGGAGAGGCGAGGUUUCGGAGGCCUGCUCUCCCGUCGACCGUGUACGCGGUAAACGGGACGGAGUCGCCGGCGGCAGCAGCAGUUCAAGGAACGAACGCGUGAGGCAGAUGUGAUCUGAUUUCGUGACGGCUAGGGUAGGCGAUCGCGUGCUUAUAAAGGCGGCUGGGUGGAGAGUCCGAGUCGGNNNNNNNNNNNNNNNNNNNNNNNNNNNNNNNNNNNNNNNNNNNNNNNNNNNNNNNNNNNNNNNNNNNNNNNNNNNNNNNNNNNNNNNNNNNNNNNNNNNNGGGAUGUUAGAAGAUCGGCAUGAGAGCUUGUGAGCAUUACAUGGUUUUCUUCCAACUUCCCAUAAUUGCUAGUUAGUAAAUCAAGUUGAGCACGUAGCUCAACAUUCUCCUUCAAUGUUGAUACUUCAAAAGAGAUAGGGUUAGAUAUACAAGUAUCAUCAACAAUAUGAGGAGAGUAAGUGGCGAUUAGAGACUUCUCAUGAGUAGAUUGAAGCUCCUCAUAGACCUUAGAGGUUUUGAUGAGCUCUCCCUUGACAUUCUUGCAUUCAAGGAGAAGGACCUCAAAAUCCUUUUUAAGUUUAUCAUGAGCAACUUCAAUCUCUCCUUUUGAAGAUCUUAAGUCUCUACAUGCUUGAUGACUCUUCUCAAGUUCAUGUUCAAGUUGUUCACUUUUAGCUUGUUCAUGAUUAAGUGAAUCAUUACAAUUUUCAAAGUAAGCAAGAACAUCUUGGAAUCUUUGAAGAGCGUUAUUUUUAGCUUUAUGAAGAAUUUUACUGAUCACAUAUAUAUUUUCAGUCAAGUCAUCAUCAUCAUCCUCAUUGCAAAUAUCAUCGUUAUUGCACAGGGAAGAUGAUACCUCAUUAUUACCUCUUCCCAUGAGGCACAUGUGAACUGGAGGAGUUGAUGAUGAUUCUUUUGGUGAAUCAGAUUCUUCAUUAGUCAAAGGUACUUCAUAUUUCUUGAUUUACCCUAAAUGAUUAGUCAUAGAACAACUAGGGAGAAACAAUAUAUUUUGAUGAAGAGGACACGAGGAAGCAGGCAUAUCACUACAGACAUUUGUCGAGGGAUCUUUAGGUGAAAUGCAUGACCUAUCAGCACAAUAAUUUACACUACGUGUGGUGCUAGAUAUGCUUGUGUCCAUUGAGGCUAUGACAUUUUCAUCAACGUAUAUUUCUUCACUCACCAUGUCAUUACCUUGUGAGAUUGAAGAUGCUGAGGUGUGCAAGCAAUCGGAUAUGGAAGUAGUGGUGGAAUCUUUAAGAUCGAAAAGAGUGAAGAGCUCAUGCACCAACUCCAUCAUAAUACCGUCUUCAUCAAGAUUGGACCCACCAUAUAUAUCUUCAAGUUUAGUCCAAACUUCAUGAGCUGUCUUGCAAGUCGAGAUAGACUUAAACACUUCAGGACUUAUAGUUCGAUGAAUGGCAAGAAAAGCCUCACAAUCAAGAUACAUCUCAUUAGUAGAUGAAGAUGCAUCAUCCUUUUUGUCGGCAAUCCCUACAAGAACAAUUCGUAAAGUAUUUGGGCCCGUGGCCCGAAAGUGAUGAAGCAUACGAAUUCUCCAUAGGGUAUAAUUUGUGCCAUCAAAGUCAAAGAUGCCAUUGUGCACUAAUCCAAUAGUCGACAUCGAUACUCUCUAGGUCGUAAAACCUAAUUAAAGAGAGACCUAGCUCUGAUACCAAUUGAAAUGACCUCGAUGACGCCUAGAGGGGGGGUGAGUAGGCUAUUUAAAAACUUCUUCGGAUUUGGCUUGAACCUAAUGCAGAAAUAAACUAAGAGGGUACUUGUCAAGAACAAAUCCUAAAUGCACUAGGCACUGCAACGUGUAUCAACAACACGAUCUACCAAGAUGGACACAAUACAGUUACUAACAAGCACAAGAAAGUUACACAAACUUACUUGAGCUAUAUCACUCGACAAGUAGGUGAACAACGCAAGAUACUAGAUCACACUAUAUCAACACAAAAUAUCAAGGGCUGCAAGUAUGAACGUGUGGAUAUAGAGGGUAUGCUUGAAUGAUUAAUCUUGUACAAGAAAUAGCCAACACAAUAUAAUGAGCACAACCAAUAUGCAAUGUAUGUAUGCUCAAAUAACACAAGUAAACCACAAGUAAGGAGUUAGGGUUAAGGAUAACCAAGGUCACUGAGACGAAGAUGUAUCCCGAUGUUCACUUCCUUGGAGGGAAGCUAGUCACCGUUAGAGAGGUGGAUGUUACCACGAAGGCACACCAACGCCACGAAGGCUCACCCUAUUCUCCCUUUGAGAUAACACCACGAAGGCGUUUCUCAACCACUAGUGGUAAGCCUUUGAGGUGGCUUCCAAACCCUCACAAACUUUUCUAGGGGAAAUCACACGAAUUGAUUCCUCUCCGAAGAACUCCUACCGCCUAGGAGUCUCCAACCUCCAAGAGUAACAAGAUCACGGGGAAUGCUCAAAACUUGCUNNNNNNNNNNNNNNNNNNNNNNNNNNNNNNNNNNNNNNNNNNNNNNNNNNNNNNNNNNNNNNNNNNNNNNNNNNNNNNNNNNNNNNNNNNNNNNNNNNNNGCCCCGCGAACCGUCCCACGAACCGUCCCGCGAUCCGUCCCACGAUCUAGUGCCGAACGGACGGCACCACCGUGUUCAACACACGUACAGCUCGACGAUGAUCUCGGCCUUCUUGAUCCAGCAAGAGAGAUGGAG
rnacentral:lncRNA from 1 species